rnacentral:lncRNA from 1 species
UGAGCAGGCCUGAGCGCCAGGCCUGUCGAUUUGUGUCGGCUCGAGCGCCCAAAGGUAGUCUGACAUGGGCUGACGUCAGAGUGACAACGACGUCAGCCACGUAGUAGGACUUCCUUUUCUCUCUGUCAACCUUCAUGGUUCUUGAAUGAUAUCGUCUCACGAUGGAUGGGCGGUGGCGACGACGACUCUCCUCAAUGCCUCCGCCUCGUGACCACCGCCGCCUUGGAGAAUGGAUCACGUAACUGCCAAGACCGUGACUUCAUUCUCCUACUUCUGCGGCGGUUUGAGUUCCUCAAGCUCGCGUAUGAGUACCACUACUCUGCAGAGGAUGAAGUCAGCUCAAAGUUUCCGAAUUGAGCAAAAGCUCCAGAACCCACAAACUUGUCGGAGUUUGCUCUGAUAAGGUGACCAAAAACUGGGCAAGGUUUCAGAGAAAUUGCAGGGGGUUAAACCUCUAGUUUCGAACUGGAAAAUCACCACAAAUCUUGUCCCAAACAACAUUAAGACAUAAUGAAACAAGAUUUGCAUAGAGAACCUCACCUGGGUUCGAGUUUCAGAUGUUGAAGCUCUCAGCUUCAAUGGUGGUUUACAUCGUGAUGGUCUGAUGAUGCAUGUAACGGUAUAGCUAGGAUCAUUUAGUCCCAGAGAUUAAGGUUUCAUGGUUUUGGAGUUUGAUUUAUUUAAUUUUCGAAGAGGAAAGUGGGUGAGAGCUCUCGGAGCUAUAGAGAGUGUGAGAGUGUCGAGAGCUUAGAGAGGAAAGGAACUUCAGAAAAAUGGAGAGAAGUGAGAAAGAUGAGUGGAAAGAGAGGGAGUGACGUGAGCAAGUUGCAAAAAAUACUAUUAUUUUAUUUACCUAUUGCUAGGGCUAUUUAAGUGUAGGGGUGGAUAUGCAAAUGGCAAUUACUGUUCAUUAAAGACAAUUACUGUUCACUAGGUGGAUUAAAUAGUGGAUAGCCCUGGGGGGACCUUUCCCACCGUGGAACUGCUUUAAUAAGGGCAGUUGGGCAGAUAAUGACAUGUUCGAAGGUAUCGGGAGUAGGUCCGUCGGGAGGUAAGUGGCUAAAACCCUUCCAGCACCGGCGAUGACGAAUCCAAGUCCGUCCAUUCUCUCAAUAUUCUUUUAUUUAUUUUUUAUUGAUCGACUGGAGCCUAGUGUAAAAGCAGUUCCAACGUGGGAACCCCCCUAGGCAAUACACUAUAUUAUCCACCUAGUGACCAGUAACUGCCCUUAAUGAACAGUAAUCGCCUUUUGCAUCUCCACCGUUGCACUUCAAUAGCCCUGGCAAUAGGCAAUAAAAUAUUAUUAUUAUUUUUAUUUAUAAAAUAAUACAAAAUAAUUUUAUUUGUAAUUUCAAAUAAGUUUUUUAAUCGUUCUCGUUGCGCCACGUGGCAUUAUCUGAAAAGUUAUAAAAUAAUACAAAAUAAUUUUAUUUGUAAUUUCGGAUAAGAUUUUUAAUCGUUCUCGUUGUGCCACGUGUCAUAAAAUCUGAAAAGACAAUUAUUGGUGAUGGAUUUCCGAUAAGAUUUUUAAUCGUACUCGUUGUGCCAUGUGUCAUUAUCCAAAAAUACAAUUAUUGGUGAUGGAUUUCCGAUUAGAUUAUUAACCAAUCACGUCGCGCCACGUGUCACAAUCUUUGAGGAUAUAUAUUUCCAUCAAAUUUUUAAUGAAUGAUGGCAUGCCACGUGGCAUUAUCUACAACCUAAUCCUUUAUGAAUCAUCCAUAUAAUCCACCAUCCAUCCUCACAAAUCUCACACCAAUUUUCUCAAGAUCUCUAUCAUUAUUCAUAGUUUCUGCUGCAUUUUUACAAUGUCUUCUUCUUUAAGGACGAUGUGGGAAAUCGAUUAGCAAGAGGAAUAAUUGUUUAACCAAUCAGAAGGAAUGUUCAAUCUCCAGGUGGCCCAAAAUGAAAGGGAAGAGGAUGAGGAAUGUAGAAGGAAAGAUGACGAAGCAAGAAUGGGCAGAGCCUCACAUUCCCGUUAAGUCAUCCAAGUUGUGGGUCAGAUCUGCAGGCCCAGCCGUUCUGGAAACCUUGAUAGAAGUAGGCAACGACGAGGUACGGAACUCUUGGACAAUUAUUUUGUCCGUAAUAGUGCAUUCCCUGAUACGUACUUUAGACGUUGUUUUAGAAUGGAACGACAUUUGUUCAACAAAAUCAUGAUUGCUGGUUGCAACCAUGAUUCUUACUUUGUGCAAAAGAAUGAUGUUUUUGGUGUUAUGGGUUUCAUUCAUCAGCAAAAAAUUACUGCUGCCUUACGGAUACUUGCAUAUGAAGCAUCUGCAGACCAAGUGGAUGAGAUAACGAGAAUGGGUGGUGGCAUCUUUUGAUACAUGGAUUUGGCACGCCUUUUUAAGGGUUAUGAGAGCUCAAAAUGACCUUAACUUCCAAAUCCCCAGUGUUCACGAUGUCCUGCAAGGAAAGGCACCAAAAGUCACGUACUGCGUCAAUGGAUGUAUGUACGACGAGCCAUACUACCUAGCAGAUGGCAUUUACCCAAGGUGGUCAACAUUUGUCAAAACAGUGCCACGUCCGCGAAGUGCAAAGGAAAAACACUUUGCAAGCUGUCACGAUGGGUGCAGGAAAGAUGUGGAGCAUUGUUUUGGUAUCCUCCAAGCUCGUUGGGCAAUCGUCAAAGGUGUUGCCAGAUUGUUUGAUGUAGAGUCGCUUCGAUCCAUCAUGAUGAUGUGCAUUAUUCUUCACAACAUGAUUGUGGAAGAUGAGUACGAUUAUGAUGUCGUUGAUGAAUAUGAGCCAGACACGAUGAACAAUUCAAGAACACGUAUAUACUGUGCUCAUGACGCCAUCGAAGAACCUGUGCAACAUGAGCCAUUAGAAAGUGAUGGACGUUACAAUGAAUUGAUCAUUCAACGAUAUACUGCACUUCAAAAGCCAUAUAUGCACAAUGCCCGACAAAUUGAUUUGAUAGAGUACCAGUGGGAAUUGAAACAAGCUUAAGAUGCUUAAGUUCAUUUAGUGUGUUUGUUUUUUUUUUGGUGUGUUUAUUUAAUUUUAUUUGGUGUGUUUUUUUUUUAGUUCAUUUAGUGAGUUUUUUUUUAUUAUUUGGUAUGUUUAUGUAAUUUUAUUUGGUGUGUUUAAAUGUCUUUUGAAUAAAGAUUCUCUUAGUAUAAAUAAAUUACCAAAUUAAAUAAAUAUACUCUUAGUUUAAAUAAAGUACUAAAAUCAAUAAAUUGGAAACAACAUAAAGUACUCUAUUCAAUAAAUAAGAAAUUACAACCCAAAGUGAUUGAAAAAUUAUGGGCUCCGAUUACAAAAAGUACUUUAUUCAUUAUCCCUUAACCAAUUUGUGGUGCUAGGAUGAUCUUCUCUUGUCGUGCUAGGACCUCCUCUUGCUCUCGCUUUUCUUGCACUGUUGGAAAUAUGCCCUGAAAGUCAAUCUUUCGAAGAAACCUUUCAGGACAAAUGAAUGGAUGUAUAGAUGAUUCUUAUACAUCAAAUGGCAAAGAUACUAAUUAGGACUAUCUCAAUAAACGAUAUAUGUCCUAAAUAGUGAAUCCAUGGACAAUGGAUCGAUUGAAAAAGUAAUCUAAUGAUGUUAGACUACAGAGACCUUCUUCACAUAACCAUAAUGUCCAAAAAGGUUCCUGGUCAUUGGAUUGUCGGAAGGAUACUGACAAUGCUUAGACCGGUACAUACUGUGUCUGCUUCAAAUGGAAGGAUGGAAAGUCUCAUCCCAUUCGUGUGGUGACACUAAGACAAGUAUGUAGGUGCUCAUUAAGGGAAUGAGUUCACUGAACACAAUCGAACGAGAGUACUUGCAUGGAGGUCUACUCACAUGUCAAGCAAGUAACUCUAAUGGUUGGAAUAAUGUAAGUAGUCAUUUGACUUGAGGCAUCGUCGUUGUCUUGUGGCUAAGUACUUAAUCUUUGAUUAUGUCAAAGUCACCCCAUUCGCGGGUGUCCACGGCAUAAUUGGGGUUAAGCCACUUAGUCAUGAAGGCAAGUGAAUGCGCAACAAGGAAUCUCUAAUCCUCGAUAAGAGAGGAAGAAUACUCUAAGAUAUGAUUCGGGAAUCUUCGGCCGAAGUAUCGAGCGUAAUAAAGGAAAGCGUUCAUAUGCGACUCAAUUGAAUCAUAUAAGAAUGAAUAAUCACAUUAGGGGUUUGACAUAAUAUAUCCAUACCCUAGUAAUGUGAUUGAGAGUAUUGUUUUAGAGAAUGAUCAAAUUACAUUGUAAUUCCAACUGAAUAGGUUCUCCGAACAACUUCUACAUUAGCUUGGGUAGCUAUGAUAUAUGGUUAGAUGUCACUCAUAGCUUGUGAGUUCUUCUAGAUGAUUAAAUGUAGUCAUCAAAGAAGAAGGUGAAUUAAAAGGAAGUUUUAAUUCACUAAGUGAUUGAAUUAAAUAUAAUCAAUUGGAUUGAUGUCAAUCACCUCACUACCUUGCUAAUUAGAACCUAAAAUGAUUGUACACCGAUACACUUUUGGUAUCUGAACCAGCUUGGUUUCUGUACAGUCCUCACGUGCAGUCACAUAAAGUUUGGUAAAAAAUUCCAGAGGUGGUCAGCGGUCACGUGAGAGCUUGAGGAAACCCCGAUAUAUUAGUAACUAACUUAUACAUUACAACACACCACACCUUUAUUGCUUAUUUACAUCUACAUACGUUGACAACUCAGAAACCCCCCAAAUUUUAACCACCAGCCAAAUUACAAACCUUCCCAACUCUCGCGCGCCCGCCCCAGCCCCGGCGCCCCCCCCCCCCCCCCCCCCCCCCCCCCCCCCCCCCCCACACACACAUAUAUAUAUAUAUGUAUAUAACUUGGUAACCAUUUCACAUCCUUAAAUCCGAAGUACUAGUUUUGAUCAGUCUGUUUUGACUUCAGGAGUAUGGAGGCUCUCAGGGUAAAGCACAUUCUUGGCUCCUGUGUAAUCCAAGAUCUUCUCGCUAGGUGCAUCUCUGGCAGAUGAGCCCGCCCUAUUCAUAUAAAUCAGUCUGUAACCCCACUCAAGUAGCUCAGGGCAAAACACCUUCCAUAAGUAUGUCACCCUGAACCAUGCCGGCUCCGUCAAGUACCUAUCCCCACGACAAGCGCUGUUCACGAUUGAUUUGGCACAUCCUUCCACUUUAGCAACUGGAGUUGCACUUACUUGGGCCUGCACAAAAUUACGCUAUUCAAACUGUGAAUGAAUAUUGACAGUUUCAGCAACAUACUGUGAAUCUAAAGCGAUGAUCAAUAUUAACAGUCUAACAGCAUACUAUGAAUGGAUAUUUAACAACAUAACAUGUUUCUAAUAUGCACACUAGAUUAACUAAUAAAUUAAGUGCAUAUAAGAAUUUAACAAACUUACAUCUCUCAAAUCUUGAUCAACAGUCAUUUUGCCUUCACUCAUUAAGAACUUGCCUUGGGUCAGCUCAGACUCUAUGAAUCCAGGAGUCACGAUUGUAAUUUGGAUGUCUGGCCCAAAUUCAAUCCUCAGUGUCUCGUACAUGCUUAGUAGAGCUGCUUUACUUGCCUAAAUUAGAUAUACGUGAACAAUUAAUCAAUGAAGUAUAAGAUGAUAAUAUCUCUAAUAUAAACAAUCUUCAUAAAGAUCACUUACAUUAUAAAUGCUUUGUCUUGGUAUAGGUAGCCAUGAAGCAGACGACGAAAGUACCACGAUUUUACCUUUGCUGCUUUUCAGGUGUGGAAGUGCAAAAUGAGUGGUAUAAACCGAGCCCCAGAAGUUUGUGUCCUGCAACGACAAGUUGUCAACUUUCACUCAUCUAUUUGGAAAAAAAAAAAAAUAGAACAGAUAGGGACAUUACUUGGGUUGGCUUACUUCAAAAUUCAUGCAAAAUAUAUUGAUGUUUUGAUAAUUGGACAUGCAUUUACCAAUUAACCACAUAAAUGAAAUCAGAGCAGUUACCAUGAUGGUUCUGAAGUUGGUGAUAUCAGUUGCGUCUUCCAAUAUGCUAAGUAAAGUGAUCCCAGCAUUGUUCACCAGAUGGUCUACUGCAUACAUCACACAUCCCAUCAAAUAAUCAAUCAUACCAUUAAAUAAGAAUUUACAUGUUAAUGUUACUCUAAAAAUAUCUUUAUCUUUCUUCAUUAUUGUUUGUUAUGGGAUGACAACAUAUCACAAAGUACUGAAUUAGUACAAGAUCACGUCUCUUUUUUGGAGUGCUAAUAUAAUUCACUAGCUAAUUUAAAUUCAUAUUUCCUCAUGCCAAAAACAUGAUAAAAGUUUAUUUGUACACAUAUAAAUUGUACUUACGCCUUCCAUAGUGGUUCAUGGUGUCAUCAACUAUUCUCUUGCAGUCCUCAACCUUGGAAACAUCUGCACGUAUCAUGAGAACAUCUGGAGAGCCAAAAUCACUUGCUCGAUCAACAACUUCUCUGAGUGCGUUUUCACUCCUCCCAACAAGGGCUAACCGUGCCCCUCUCUUCGCAUACUCAUAAGCCAAGUGCUACAAAAUCAAACAACACAAACAUAAAGUGUACUAAUUAAAAAAUAAUACGUCAUGUGACAUAACUAACUACAGUAUUUGAGAAAACAUGCACAAAUAGAACCGGUUUCAAAUUUAAGCAAACAAUAAAUUGUUGUUCAUAUUUACCAUGAUUCGGUUCUAUUUUGAUUAAAAGUUUGUAGUGUGCGCUAUUUGUUCUUUAGUGUUAGUAAUAUUGAUUACCUCUCCAAUACCAGAGGAGGCCCCGGUUAUGACGACGACCUUUCCUUUGAGAUUUUCACUGAAAAUGGAGCUCAGGACAUAGGAGAAGGACUUGAAGAGAUAAAAGGGUGGCAGGAAAACGCAGAGGGAGAAGAAGGUGAAAGGAGGAGCUACAAGAUUCAAGAACGUGUGAAUAAGACCCAACAUGGCUUUGCUUAGAUUUGCUACCUGUCUGAUGAUAACACAGGAAUAUGUUUCUGAGAUGAUGAAAUCUUGAAGAUAGAAGCUUUCUAUUAAUUGGGUUUGGGGUUUAUGAAUAUAUUAAGUGUUAGAAGGAGGAGAAGAAGGAGGUGGCGGUACAAAGGCAGCAACAGGGCACGUGGCAAGACUAGGACACGUGUACAGACAUUUCCUUGUGUGACCGUAUUAUUUGUCCAGAUGCUCCCAAAUUUUGCCGCAUCUCUUUAAGAAAAUUUUCAUUCUGAUCGGAACACGAGUGGUACAUUACGUGUUUUAUAUAAGUGGUGGAAAAUUAUAUUUUUUAAGUUAUUAACUUUUUAACACAUAUAUUUCAUCAUUUGUAUAAUGACACGCUGUGUUCCGACUACAUUGAAAAACCUCUCCAACUUUUUAUUUUGGUUUUAAUCUCUCCAUCCACGUUGUCAUUUGUGUAGAAUUGAAAGAACAGAAGGAUAAAAAUAAAGACAGAUCGCCAUUAGAAUUUGUUUGGGAAAACCCGCUGUGUUAUAAGACAACCUUUUAUGAAUUCAAUGUCUUUUUAUCGAACAAGUUUUUAGGUAUGAAAAUGAAAAUAAAAACUAGGAGAGUUUUGACAUAGGCAUUUUUUUUUGUAUAACGAUAUAUACACUAAGAGGAGAAGAACUUCGGCUAAGCUAUUGAAGUGGUCAAAUUUUCAUAUAUUUUAUCAUAUAUCUCCUUUGAUUUUGUAUAUAUGAAUGAGUUAAAUGCAUUAAAUUCUAUUGUUUGAUUAUAUAGGCAUUCAAUACCGGACUUAUAUGAAAAAGAAGUGGAAAACGAGUUUUUCGGGUGUCUAAAGUAAUCCAAUGGAGCAAGAGGCUAAGUAACUGCAUAAAGACAUGCAUUACAGUUAGAAGAUGAAAUUGCAACGGUUUUGGAUAUCAAAGUGACAUGAGAAUGCUAUUCAGUAAAUUUUAAGAGAGACAUAAUUGUUUUUAUGAUUUCCGUUUAAUUUCUUUUUCUUUAAUUAGGCCUUAAUGUCCAAUAAGGGCUACGUUUUUAAUUAGCCUUUUUGUUGUCCAUUGCCAUGAGUUAUAAUGUGGAGAUUAAUUCUCCUCAUUCAUUCAUUCUCGAAAGAAAGCCACCAAAACAUAUCACACUUUAAGGGGGCUGCGGCAAAGAAGGGAAGAGGGAAGAGUUCUUUCUUUGGUUUUUUUUCUUUGCUAGGUUACGAUGUAGUUUAAUCAUGAAUACUUAGUUGUCUUCUGGUAUUGUUAUUAUCAAGUUUUUCUUCCUUAUUGAGUAUCUUUUGCUAUUGGUAAUGCACUUGAUUUUUAUUUAGAUGCUUGAUCACCAUCUAGAUUUAGAUUAAGUUGAUUUGAUGCAAGUUAGAGUAAAUGACAUACUUAACUUGGGUUUAGCUUCUUGCAAAUGAUACCAUAAACACCUAUUUGUAGAUGCCUUGCAAUUAGAGUUUGUGUGAUUUUCCAACAAUUUCCAUAGAGCUUAAUGGUUUCUUACUUGUUUAAAUUCAUCUAGAUAUCAUAGGGGGUUAACAUAUAAGGAUACUUUUGAUGCAACCAUAUGCCAUGACCAUUGAAUAAUUUAGGGAAAAUCGAUCAUCAAUAUUGGGGAACUACUUGAGCAUAACAUAUUAAGAGAAUUAAGUAUGAUUGAUUAUGGUGAAUUUGGAUGCCCUAGGUCUUAUUUUCUUAUGUUUUAAUUUAUAAUUUACAUGCAUUUUAUUUUCAAGCUUUAUUUUAUUUUAGUUUAAUUUAAAAUUUUCAUAUCUUUUCCAUUAAAGCUUCUCCACUCUAAUUUGUAUCAAUUUAGUUAGUAAGAUUUUUAGAUAUCAAUUCGAUUUUUGUGCGAUGAUAUCCAUGCUUAUAUGCUAUACUAUCAUUUGAUUCGUACACUUGCGAGCACAAAAAUUCGAGACUUAAUGAGGCUAUCUAAUUUUCGCAACAGCAACACCAAAGGCAAAAUUUGGAGACAAAAUUUGCAAACUAAAUUUGAAGACAGAAUUUGCAAAUUAAAUGAUGUGUUACUAAUAGGAAUGAACAUGUUUAUCAACAUUUUAUUAUAUCUAAUUUUCGCAACAGCAACACCAAAGGCAAAAUUUGGAGACAAAAUUUGCAAACUAAAUUUGAAGACAGAAUUUGCAAAUUAAAUGAUGUGUUACUAAUAGGAAUAAACAUGUUUAUCAACAUUUAAAUAAUAAACUAAUCAUUAAAUUCUAUAUCUUUUAAUUUCUAAAAUUUUGUUUCCCUCAUUAUCCGUAUCGAAAAUGUAAUCGUAUUUGUACAGUUGGAAAACAACCAACUUGUUGCCCCCACCACAUCAAGAAAUUUUUAUACUAGUCUGACGAGUGGACCUGGGUAGACUGUCCACAAUGCAAUCGAAAACUUCGAAAAGGGUUGGUGGGUUUUCUUGUCUCACGUACUAGCGAAACGCUCUGGACAUGACAUAGAUUUUGUCCCCAAUAGACCACAACAAGGUUUAUUAUCUUAUCUUAAUUGGAACCAAACAUUAUGGGAAUUAAUUAAGGAAUUUCAACCAAAACUUCCGGUAUUGUUCGUUAAACUAAAAAGUUAAUCAUGGUAUUAUUCACUUUACUCUUUAUUUUGUCCUUAUCGUUAAAACUCAAAAUUUUCAAACUAUUUUUAUUAAUUUUCCUAAUUAAUUACGGUACUUUUGGAUUCAAAAGCAACAACUUCAAGAUUUGUCUUCAUACAUAUACCAAGGACGCUCAGAAACUCACCCUGUAGGCCCUAGGGUUUGGAAUCCACAAUCUUAACAAUCUUAUAUUUAUGUCCGAAUGGAAAAGGCCUUCUGUCAGGAUAUUCAGAACCUUGUACAAGUUUACACUCCGGUGGAGAUUUCGAAGAUCUUGUUGCCUGCAAUUUACUAAUAUAUCCAUUGCCAAUAGGCAUUUGUCCGUCUGAACAUAGAAAACCAAUCCUUCUCCGGCAUCAUAUGCAAAAGUUCUAUCUGUUGGAUCAAAGUGUAAGACUAUAUUAGAGUUGCACAGUGGUAUGUAACGUCUCAUAUAGAUUAAAGAUUGCAGAGAUUGAUUUCUGUUUAUUCCAUACUUGACCAAUUCCGAAACUACUGAGCACCGGUUAACGUUAUACCGUCAAGGAUCCAGAAGAGUUUCCCUCCAACCAGGAGGCCAAUCACAUUGCAACAUGUGUCGACAUCAGAAGCCAAUCACAACGAGACACAUGUCAACAUCAGAAGUCAAUCACAACACGAUACGUGUCAAUGUCAGAACAAAACUAGAAACUCUUCUAUAAAAGGAGAUCAUUCUCCCACAAUAUUUUCUAAUAUCAUUUGUACUAAAUCAUUCACUAGUACUCACUAAAGGAGAGCUUGAACCUAUGUAUUUGUGUAAACCCUUUACAAUUAAUGAGAACUCCUCUACUCCGUGAACGUAGCCAAUCUGGGUGAACCACGUACAUCUUGUGUUUGCUUCCCUGUCCCUAUCCAUUUACAUACUUAUCCACACUAGUGACCGGAGCAAUCUAGCGAAUGUCACAAACUUAACACUUUCUGUUGUACCAAAGUUCCCGCUGAUUUUGUACAUCAACAAUUUCAAUAAUACUUGUAUGCUAAUAAAGACAGUGUAUUAUUAGGAUUUUAUAGCUAAAGCAAUCCUGAUACGAUUAGUAAACCUAAUCAGAUAUGAAUACUAAAGUUUAGGUGAUAAAGUCUUGUUCGAAUAGAAUUACAUGAUGGGAAGUUCCCUACUCGGAUUCCACCUCUUUUACUAUAUAACAAGAGGCCCUGUUCUCACACUCGAUACACAAUAAUAACCUUUCUAGUCCCAUUGAAUAGAGUUGCGAUAAGAUGAGUGAAAGAGAGUAGAAGAUCAUUUGUUUUAGGGAUAUAGGGGUGUGCUAUCCACACACCCCAAAUUACUUCUCACACACCCUUAUUAAUUUAUAUCCGUUGAUCUUAUUCAAUUCAUCCGAUCUGACGGCCGAAAAUUAGAAGGGUGUGUGGAUAUCACACCCCUUUGUUUUAUGCUAUAGAGUUGUCACAAUACAAGGAGAGAUGCAGACACUCAGAAGAUUGAUCAACGGAGGUUCUAAUCUAGAUAAGUGUUUUUAGUUAAUUACGAUUUGUUGAUGCACAAAACCGGGGCGGUCUUUGGUACAACGUAAAUCCGACCGUGAAUCUGCACAAACGCUCAAGAACACGAAGAACACAAGGAACACAAGGAUUUUAUCGUGGUUCACCCCAAUGUUUGGGCUACGUCCACACUGUAGGUGAUUCUGUUUCUCUGUAAUUGUAUGGAUACAAGUGUUUGAGGGGAAGUCCCCCAGAGAGAGAAGAGAAGGGAGAGGAGAGCCUCGGUGGUGUGAGGACUCUCUCUCAAGGCUUCUAGCCUUUGUUUUCAGCUCUAGCCCUUAGAAAUGAGGACUUAAGACUUGGUUUAGAAUGAGGGGGAGUCCCCUUUUAUAGAAUAAGGGGCUCCUCCUCUUUUACAUUUGUCGUGGGCUUAAUGUGUGAGGCCCAAAUACGAGGCCCAAGACCCAAAUACGAGGCCCAAAAAUAUGGUAUAAACACGAUUUUUCUUCUUACACAAAGGUAUACAACUAAACUUGUCAAUGAAAGAGUUUUAAUGAAACUUUCAGCAACAUGAUUUGUCUCAUCACAUAUAAAGCAAACAAGCAACAAAUAAACAACUUAUACUUUCCUUAUAGUUUGCUGUAAUAGUAGGAUUGAAUAUUCUUAAUUAAUUGUCUUAGGUUACUUAUGCCUCACAUGUAAUUAUUACAUAUACAUUUCCACACGCGAUUGUUACAUAUACAUCCGCUGAAAGACGGUUAAUAAUAUCAGAAUAUUGAACCACUAAACCUAAUCGCUAUCCCAAAACCAAGGCUGAAAGGCCUUCCGUCGAUAAUUUCUUUCUCAAAGUCGAUAGUCGACGUAAACUAUCAAUCUCUAAAUUCCAGUCACCAUACAAACCCGUAAUUGCCCUAAUUAUUAUAAGAUUCCAGUAAUUUUUCAUGCUAUAUGUACAAAAUUGAAAAUUUCAAGAGUAGCCAAAAGUGGGAAAGUUUUAUUCGCUUUUACCUACAGGUCGCAAUAAAUCAGUACCACGCGUGGCAAGAGUGAGAAGUGAGAUGAUCGAGACACCGAGGUACUGAACUGAUUGGGAGAGAUGGAUUAGAUAAAUGGACAAGGAUUGUCUGCCCUCCUCGUGCCCUCCUGUUUUGUGUGGUCACGGUUAAGCCACAUUAACAUUUUAUAUUAUUUUUUUAUAGAUAUAUAAGACAAAAAUGAAUAGUAAUAUAAAAUGUUGACGUGGCUUAACCGUGACCACACAAACAGGAGGGCACUAGAAGUGGAGGGCAGACAAUCCUUAUCCUAGAUAAAUUUAGGGGUGUGUGGAGCUAUCCACACACCCCAAAUUACUUCUCACACACCCUUGUUAAUUCUAUCCGUUGAUUUUCUUCAAUUCAUCCGAUCCGACGGCCGAAAAUUAGAAGGGUGUGUGAGAAGUAAAAUGGGGUAUGUGGAUAUCACACCCCUAAAUUUAUACAAACCUAGACCAAAAACCUAGGAAAAUAGGAAACGUUGGAACUGAUUAUGUUGUGCUUUAAAAAUAUUUGUAACAUAUAGCAGUUGAAUAUUUGAUAAACAACAUUGGUAAAAUUUAAUGUAAGUGACAUAAUUAAUUGUAUAUAAUGAUAAAAAUAGACAUGGUAAUGAGCAGUGUUCUAAAAAUAGGCCUAGGCCCUAGGCAGUGGAGGGCCGCCGAGAUUUAUGCCAAAGCAUUUAUCAAAUCGGGUGGGAGUUAGUCGGCCGCCUAGGCGCUAUCUAGGCGGUGGUGGGCGGCGGUCUAGGCGGCCUUGUAAGAACCAUGGCGGUUUUCCAUCUCACAACGAUCUGACAAGAUGAGAGAAAGGGCACUGGAAAUUUUGACGAUACAUACAAACCCCAUUGAUUGUUCAAAGAAUCCACCUCAGAUUUCUUCACAAACUAUUGCUUGACCAGCGAGCCAUGUCGAUAUUGUUUGAUCGUUCGAGAUUUUGGGAUGAAAGUUGAGGGUUUGGAGUAACUUGUGGAAGCGGGGAAGAGGUUUGAUGAUGGGAGAGACCUCUUGAUUCUAAAACAGAGAGGAGAGCAAAGCAACUUCUCUUUGUUGAAAAAAGAGUGAAGGCAAUGGAAACGAGGCGUUGGGCAAUGGAAACAAGGGGUUGAAAUAAGGAAUCGAAAAUGAGGCUGGUUUUAAUAAAAGUGAGAGAGGUAUUUGGAUGAUUUGAUUGAAACAAGGCAUUCUUAUAAUAAAAUAGGAAGACUUGCGAUAAAGAAAUGGUGGGGUGGAGUAGGCCGGGCCAUUUAUAUUCUUAUCAUCUUUUUCACUUUUGAAAGGGUUAAGAAAACAACCCAUCUUAUUAAGUAGACCUCGUUUUUGUUAUAAUAAAUUUAAUUAAAUAAAUAAAAAUUACAAAUUCGCCUAAACUGCUUAGGCGCCAGACCCUAGUCAACCACCCGACUAGCGCCUCGCAUUUUUUAGAACCAUGGUAAUAAGGGUGGUGGUGACGACAAUCGUGGCAGCAUUUGUGAGUGAUGGCCGCGACAAUUGAGGUGUAGAGGUAGUAGUGGUGGCAUCGGAAAUGAUGGCAAUUGUGGUGGUGGCAGUGGUGUAAGGUUGGUGGUUGAAGUUGUAGGUGGUGGCAGUGACGAUAAUAGUGGAGGCGGCAGCGAUGAUUGUAGCAACAAUGGUGGUUGUAUGGUGAUGGCGUCAAUAGUAUGGUGUGGUGGUUGAAGUGCAUAUGUAAUAAUGGUGGUGGGGACGUGACAACGAUGAUGGUGGUUAUGGUGGCGCAGUUGUGGUGGUGGUAGUGACGAUUAUGGCGGCAGUGGUGGCGACGAUGGUGGUGGCAAUGGCGGUAGUGGUGGUUGUUAUUGCGUUUGUGGUGGUAGUGGUGGCGGUUGUGGUGGUGGUGGCGGCAUUGCUGAUGACGAUUGUGCUAGCAGCGAUAGCGGUGUAAGGUUACUGGCUCUAGUGUUAAUUAGUGAUGGUCACCUUGUUCUCCAAGAAAAAAAAUGUGGGUAGACGGAUAAAUAAUGUCAUUUUAUUAAAAAAAAAUGAGUGUAUUACAUGAAUUGAAAAUAUUCAUUAAACGGUCAACUUUGCUUUUUAUAAAAGUUGUUGCCUGAAUAUCAUUGUUUUAUAGAAUAAGAAGGAAAUUUUAGUUUUUCUAAACAUUUUUUUAUUGCUUAACUUUAAAGUGAAGCAAAAAGUAAUACCAAAUGGGACCUUAGAGUGAGUAUGUUACCACAAAAAUUUGUUUUUAUUUUACUUGUAUUAUUUCGACUCCAACAUCUGAUUUGGGCCAUCAUCUCUUCCAUCAAGCUCCUCCAUUCAUGCCAAUUUUCUGAUAUGUUGCAAAAUUCGUCUCCCUAACAGGUGGGUAGCAAAUUAUCUUGAAGGGCAAUAAAUACAUGGGCUAACACAAGUGAAUAAUUCACUUUCAUAAAUAAAAAGUAAAACAUGUAUACUGUUAUCUAAUGUUCCAUAUAUAGUUAAUCUUUUAACCCCGGAGUUAAACAUGUAAAAACUAUAGCUAAUUUAUAUUGAGACCUAGAAUUUGAUUCAUUUAAUUUUCAUUUUGGUGUCUGCUAAUUGUGGCAAUUUUGAUAUUGUAAUAUUUUGACAUUUUGGUAUCUGUUAAAAGAUCUUUGUCCUCUUUUAGAAUUCUUAGAAUUUUGCUCAUUUUUACAUGUAAAAAACUUAACUAAUCUAUCAUUUUAAUCGCAUUUAAAUCCUUUGUCAUAUUAUUAUUGCUCAAGGCUCCCUCGAAAACUACUUAAGCUUAUUUCGGCACCCUUUAAGUAGAGAAUCCGAUGGGCUUGACUUGUUCUUCAGAAGAAUAUGAGCAAUGGAAAUUAGGCAAAUGUUUGCAUUUUUUCUUGCCCGAUGCGUACCACUGAGUGUAUAAAGAGAUAUAAUGGACCUUUGAAACUACUAGAUCUUGCAUAAAACUGUAAAGAUAUAGAGCCACCAGAUGGUGACAAGUGUCAACAGAUAGAUGAAUGAGUUUGUUAAGUCGAUUAGUGGUAGUUUAGUGUGCAAGGAAACUUGUUGAUAUAUAUACGUGUACCGUGAGCUAUAACAAUUAUUCAUUCAAUACAAGAAGAUAAUUCAAUUGUACUUCUCUCUCUAGAUUUCUCUCUCUCUCUCUCUCUCUCUCUCUCUCUCUCUCUCUAGAUCACAUAGAAACUGCCAUUGAUGUUCUUCACAAUCUAUAGCUUAACAUGGUAUCUUCGCCAGUCGUUCUUCGAUCCUGAGGAUUUCAUUGAUUUCGCUCUCGAUUCUUGAAGUUUUGGUACGCUGUGUUGCAUAUUGUUGCUGUUUUUCUUGGAUUUGAGCUCUGCCUUCAACAUCGAUAUCGAUAUGCACAAUCGAUUGUAAGCAUAUUCACUACUUGCUUGAACAAAUGUCUGACUGGAGCUUUCUCUUUGUCUCUAUGUCCUCCCUUUGAAUCUUCUCAUUGAUUACGAUCUGUUCUUUUGAAAUCUCUUGAAAUCUUUCUUUGAAACCUUAAUUUUCUCAAUUCUUUCAAGAAAAUAUGGUGACGGCUGCACAAUUGCACAUAGUUUUGUUGCCGAUCACAACUCUUAUUACAAAUGUGUCUACUUAUGUUACUGUAAAGCUUGAUGAUACGAACUAUCUUGUUUGGCAAUGUCAAAUUUGAUUGCUUCUUGAAAGCCAUGGCAUUUUAGGCUUUGUGGAUUGUACUAGGCGUUGUCCUAAACGAUUUGAUGAUCAUGCUAAUAUUGAAGGUGCUGAAACUGAUGACUAUCAGAUUUGGAAAAUGCAUGAUCGUGCAUUAAUGCAGCUUAUCAUUACUACUUUGUCUCCGACUGCUAUGUCACGUGUUAUUGGAUGUUUGAGCACUUAUGAUAUGUGGAUUAAUCUGAAGGAUUGGUUCUCUACUGUUACAAAAUUCAGUAUUUUUCAGUUGAAAAGUGAGUUACAAAACAUCAAGAAAUGGUCAGAUUUUGUCUCUACAUAUCUGCAACGAAUUAAAGAUGUUAGAGAUCAUAUUUCUAUAGUUGGUGUUACAUUUGAAGAUGACGAUAUUGUAAUUUUGGCAUUGAAAGGGCUCCCUUUUAAGUACAAUACUUCUAGGACAGUUAUAAGGGGUAGGGAGAAUGUUAUCAUUCUUAAAGAGUUUUGAUCCCAGUUACUGGCAGAAGAAGCAACUAUUAAGCAUAAUUCUACCUCUGAGCUUUUUGUUACUGCAAUGGUUGCACAAGACAAACAAGGCAAAGGCAAAGCUUUCAUGCCCGGAGAAGGGUCUUCCAGGGGCUCUUCAUAGUCUACCAAUUACAAUGGUGGUUCCCCAAAUUAUAAUGGAGGCUAUACUACAAAUGGUUUUCGAGGACGUGGUAGGGGUAGGAACAACUUCCAUUUGAGGUACAAUCCAUGAUCUCCAAAUCCAAUUGCUGGAAUUCUUAGCCCUGCAAAGCCUCACAUUUCAACUUGUCCAGAACAUGGCUAUGAAGUUCUUAUCUGUUAGAUAUGCAAUAAAAGAUGACAUAUUGCUACAGAUUGUUUCCAAAGACACUCUUCUUCAACUUCUAACACAUUAAAAGUUCAAUGCCAAAUUUGCUGGAAAUUUGGGCAUAUUGUAGCUCAGUGUUAUCACAGAGGCAACUUUACUUUUCAAGGCAAGCCUCCAUCUUCUAAUCUUUCUGCAAUGCAUACUACAUUUCAACCAUCUGCACCACAUGAGCAAUUAUGGGUUGCUGAUACUGGAGGAAAUUCCCAUAUGACUUCAGAUCUCUCUAAUCUCAAUUUGGCAGCACCAUUUUUUGGUAAUGAUUCAGUUGCAACUGCAAGUGGCUCAGGUUUGCUAAUAUCUCAUAUAGGCUAUUCUACUCUGCAUACACCUCAAUAUGCUUUUAAGUUAAAGAAAAAUUUACAUGUGCCUCAAUUAUCACAACAUCUGUUAUCUAUAUAUAGAUUGUGUAAAGAUAACAAAUGUAGAUUCAUUUGUGAUGAAUUCUGUUUUUAGAUCCAGGACAAUAUCACAGAGACCAUCCUUCUUCAGGGACAGUGUAUAGGUAGCCUCUACCUAUACCCUUUCAUAUUCCAUAACAUCUCAUUUCACAAACACAUAAAUACAAUGUAACUUUUCAGCAAAAAAGCUGCUAUCUUGGUUAUCAAGUCAAAAUAAACAUGUGGCACCAAAGAUUAGGACACCCUUCUAACAUUGUCACUUCUACAAUGUUAAAAUAGUAAAAAAUUCCUACAUCUUUAGAUCAUGUGUCUUCUGUUUGUAAAUCCUGUUUGGAAGGCAAGUUUGCCAAACUUCCAUUUACCUUUCCUGCAUAUAAAAUUGUAAAGCCUUUAGAGGUAAUGCACAGUGAUGUUUGGCGUCCUUCAUCUACUGUUUCAAUUGAAGGUUACAAAUUCUAUGUAAGCUUUGUGGAUGAAUGUACUAGGUUCACCUGGAUUUUCCCUUUAAUGAAUAAAAGUGAAGUUUUUGGUGUUUUUGUACAUUUUCACAGCUUCUUGGUUACUCAAUUCUCUGCAACUGUGAAAGUUUUUCAAAGUGAUGGUAGUGAUCAAUACACCAGUCACAAAUUCAAAAACUACUUACUAGAUAAAUGAAUCAUUCAUCAAAUGUCAUGUCCUUAUACUCCCCAACAGAAUGGUCUAGCUGAAAGGAAUCAUAGACACAUUCUUGAAACUGCCAUUACCUUGUUGCAAACUGCCAGAUUACCCCAUACAUUUUGGUUCCAUGCUUGUGCCAUUUCUAUUUACCUUAUUAAUAAGAAGACAUGUCCAACACUUCAUACGUCAUCUCCUUUUACCUGUUUAUUUGGCACUCUUCCUUCUAUAUCUCAUCUCAAAGGGUUUGGUUGUGCUUACUUUCCUUUCUUAAAACAGUAUAAUUCUAGUAAGUUGCAACCUAAGACUUCAUAGUGUAUUUUCAUACGGUAUGUAGGUCAAUAUGAAGGUUAUCUUUGUCUUAAUCCACUUACAAACAAAAUCUUUGUCUCGAGACAUAUUUUGUUUGAUGAGAUAAGUUUUCCUUAUUCAUCUAUAAUUGCAUCCAACAUCACAUUGUCCAGUUCUGCAUCCACAUCAACAUCAAUGUAUAAACCAGUUCACCCUUCACUAGUUGAUUCCCAAAACACUGUCCUACCAUCUAUACCCUAUCGAGCCUCAAAGUUUUCAGUCUUUACUACCCCUAGUGCCUCAGUGUUUUCCACAUCUCAUUCCACUAGAGCUUCAGAAUGUUUAAAUUCAAGUUAUAUUACACUACAACAGAUAUGGAAUUAAUUAUAAAAGCUACAUAAUCCCCAGUCCCUAUUGAUCCGAAUUUUCAACCUGAAAAUCUAUCCAUUAUCCUUCCCAUACCAUCAGUAAGUUUGCAUCCUAUGCAAACACGAUGCAAAAGUGACAUAUCAAAGAAGCAAGUGUUCUCAACCACAGUUCAGGUUCCUGCAACGGUUUUAGAAACUACAACCUUUAAGUCUGCCAAUAACGUGCCUGAAUGGAUUGCUGCAAUGGAAGAAGAAAUCACAGCCUUGAAGUCACAUCAUACUUAGUCUUUAGUGCCACUGCCACCUCAUAAGAACCCGGUAGGUUGCAAGUGGGUGUAUAGAGUCAAAACCAAUCCUGAUGGUUCAAUGGCAAGAUAUAAGGCUCGCUUAGUUCCUAAAGGGUAUAGUCAAGAUAAGGGUAUUGAUUACACUGAGACCUUUAGUCCUGUACUGAAACCUACAACAGUUAGAUUGAUUUUGGCAUUGGCAGCUCAAUUCAAAUGGUCAUUACGACAAAUGGAUGUGAAGAAUGCAUUUCUUCAUGGUGAUUUACAUGAAGAAGUGUAUAUGUCUCAACCACAAGGCUUUGAAAGUACAGAACAUCCUUCUCACUAUGUUUGCAAGUUGCAUAAGUCUCUUUAUGUCUUGAAACAAGCUCAUCGAGCUUGGAAUGAAAAAUUUACAAGUUUUUACCAAGUUUGGGUUUUAAAUCUUCUCUUGCAAAUCCAUCUCUCUUUGUGCAACACAUUAGUCUUGGCACUGUUGUAUUACUUCUUUAUGUGAAUUGACAAGGUAGUUCAAGCUUUAACUUAGGAGUUUGAAAUGAAAGACUUGGGGCAAUUACAGUAUUUCUUGGGGUUACAAAUAACAUAUCAGAAUGAUGGUUUUUUUGUUUCACAGUCAAUGUAUAUUAGAGAUUUACUUGAAAAGGUUGAUCUACAAGAUUCAAAGCCUUGUGCAACACCAUGUUUUCCAUAUCACAGGUUGUCUAAAACUGAGGGCACUCAUUAUCACAGUCCACAACAAUAUCACAGCAUUGUAGAAGCUUUACAAUACUUAACCUUUACUCAGCCUGAUAUUGCUUUUUCUGUGAAUUAGUGUUAUCAGUUCAUGCAUAGUCUCAUGGAUACUCAUGUUGUGGCUAUUAAGAGGAUUUUACGAUAUCUGCGUGGUACUAUGGACUAUGGUCUUCGAUUUCAAUCAGGAUCCUUAAAGUUGCAGGCUUAUAGUGAUGUGGAUUAGGCAGGAGACCCCAAUGAUCGACGAUCUACUUCUGAUCACAUUGUUUAUCUUGGUUCCAAUAUGAUAUCUUGGGCCUCUAAGAAGCAACACACUGUCUCUCGGUCCUCUACAUAGGCUGAAUAUCGAGCUUUAGCCAUUGCCGCUACUAAGUUAGCAUGGUAAGGUAGUUGUUAUGUGAUAUAUGUGUACCUAUUCUACUUGCUCCAGCCAUUUAUUGUGACAACAUUUCUACAAUUGCUUUAUCAUCUAAUCCUAUUUUUCACUCAAGGAUGAAACAUAUUGAAAUCGAUUACCAUUUUGUAAAAGAGAGAGUCAUUCGAGGAGAUCUGCAUGUCUCUUAUGUGUCUUCAAAAGAUCAGUUUGCAGAUAUUUUGACCAAUGGUCUUUCUGCACUUUUGUUUCAACAUCAUUGUUUCAAUCUUAUGCUUGGCUCAUCCAAGCAUAUGAUUGAGGGGAGAUGUAAAGAUAUAGAGCCACCAAAUGGUGACAAGUGUCAACAGAUAGAUGAAUGAGUUUUUUAAGUCGGUUAGUAGUAGUUUACUUAGUGUGUAAGGAAACUUAUUCAUAUAUUGUAGCAUCCCACAUCGCCCAAAGGUGAGGAUCCUAUAAGCCUUAUAUGUAUAUUCCCAUCUUUACCUAGCACGAGGCCUUUUAGGAGCUCACAACAUCCCACAUCGCCCAGGGGUGAUAAUCUUGUAAGCCUUAUAUGUAUAUUCCCAUCUCUACCUCACAUGAGGCCUUUUGGAAGCUCACUGGCUUCGAGUUCCAUCGGAACUCCGAAGUUAAGCAAGUUCAUGCGAGAGCAAUCCUAAGAUGGGUGACCCACUGAGAAUUUCUCGUGUGAGUUCCCAUAAAAAAAAACCGUGAGGGCGUGAUCUGGGCCCAAAACGGACAAUAUCGUGUUACGGUGGAGUCGAGUCCGGGAUGUGGUGGGGGCCCAGGCCGGGAUGUGACAUAUAUAUACUUGUACUGUGAGUUGUAACAAUUAUUCAUUCAAUACAAGAAGAUAAUUCAGUGCUACGGCAGAGUCGAGCCUAGGAUGUGGUGGGGGCCCGGGCCGAGAUGUGACAAUUUGGUAUCAGAGCCAAUCCCUGACCGGAUGUGUGCCGACGAGGACAUCGAGCCCUUAAGGGGGGUGGAUUGUAACAUCCUACAUCACCCAGGGAUGAGGAUCCUGUAAACCUUAUAUGUAUAUUCCCAUCUUUACCUAGCACGAGGCCUUUUGGGAGCUCACUGGCUUUGAGUUCCAUCGAAACUCCGAAGUUAAGCGAGUUCGCGCGAGAGCAAUCCCAGGAUGGGUGACCCACCGGGAAGUUCUCGUGUGAGUUUUUAGAAACAAAAUCGUGAGGGCGUGAUCGAGGCCCAAAGCAGACAAUAUCGUGCUACAGUAGAGUCAAGCUCGGAUGUGGUGGGGGCCCAGGUCGGGAUGUGACAUAUAUAUACUUGUACUGUGAGUUGUAACAAUUAUUUAUUCAAUACAAGAAGAUAAUUCAGUUGUACUUCUCUCUCUAGAUUACAUAGAAACCGCCAUUGAUGUUCUUCACAAUAUGUAGCUUAACAGAAACUCGUAUCACUGAGUGAGACAUAUGAAGGUUAGAUCUUGCAUACAACAUUAUAAUGUUUGCAAUAGAAUUAAAACUACAAGAUGAAUUAAGUCUCUUCUCACGUAAAACCUUACUGAGGGAAAAAUAGAGGGAUAUCCAUUAAAGAAGAAGAAAAGGCAAAAGUCUUUGCCUCAAAAAACGGCACUUUUAACAUACCAAUUUUAUUGAUCACAGAUGCAUAACAAUAAGAGUACUUCUUCAGCUCUUUUAUGCAAAACAUUAUCUAAACAACUCUAAUAUACGCAUCUAGAACAAAAUUAGAUUUCAAGUGCAAGAGGUAGCACACACUGCCUGACCACUGGCCUACGCACAUCUACUUUACUAUAAAACCAACAACUAUUCUUUGCUACUAAAGGCCAUCAGUUACAAAUAGCAGUUCAAACCUCCUCCUCUCAUUGACCCUUGCAAUGAAAUCAUCAGCUCUUUGGUUUAAUUUCUGAUCUUCAUCAGGUAAAUUGAGCUCAUCAUCAUCUUCAUCUUCAUCUAAAUCCUCUUUCACCUCCUCCAUUACUUCCUCACUUUCUCCAGCCAGUCCUUUCUCUUCUACAGCUUCUAAUAAAUCUCCACAAGUCCUCUUCAGCACUACCCUUUCUUCAUCCAAAAGAGUAUUCAAGGUCUUGAGUUCCCUUUCUUGGUAGCCGGAAUAGCUCUGCUGGCUUUGGAACCUUUUCAUACUUUCGUAUUGAUCAACAAUAUUAGAUGUCGAAGUCCCUGUAGAAAAGAUUUUCGAUUCUCCUAUAAGGGCAACAACAAUGAGAUUCCCUAGAAUGAACACAAACUUGGAGCUCAAGAAUACUGAACUGAUUUUCGGGACGGUAACGAGGACAAAGACCAUCAUGGAAGAAGAUACAGAGGGAAGCCACAAAGGGCUAAAACAAAAUAAACUGCAAAUUAAUGCAGUAAAAAUAUGAAGGAAGAAAUUGCUCAAAGGAUGAUGGUGUUUCUUGUGUUUGUGGACUGCUUGGAACUUCAGUAACUUGAUUGGAUCCAUUUGGGGGUUAUAAAUUCAACCUAAAAAGGAUGGAGUAAGAGGUAAUUCUAAUGAGGAAGAGCUAGCUCAAUAACCAAUCUCAAAAAAAAUGAGGGAGGUUUUCAUCUGCUUGACCAUUGGGCAUUUGCAAACACUGGUUUAUAUAGUCGGUGAAAUGGGGUUAAUUUGGUAAUUAAGAUUCAUCAUACUCUUUAUAUUUUACUUUAUAUGAGAGAAGGUGACUUUUAAAAAGUUAUGGGGAGAUUGAUUAGUGUUUAUUGGUUACUUUUAUUUUUCAGGCUAAGCUAACUUUGCUUUUCCCCUGCUUGCAAAUUUUUAAUAAAAACUAUAAGGAUUAACAUGCUCCCAGUACACAAAAACCUGGGACUGAAGAAAUCUAAUUCUGGGUUCAUCAGAGACAGUCAGUCAGCGAGAUCAAAUUCAUGCAAUUCAACAGACAUCAAUAGCAGCCAAAUUAUUGGGUUUUUACUUUUAAUAAACCUCGACCGCACGAGAAGAAAAUUAAGCGCUAAAAGCUUGUUUAAUUAAGGUUUUAUUUGUGCAAUGAGUCUGCAUGUUUAACUUACAAGGCCUUUGAAUCAGCUUCGUAGAUUAUGCAAAUGAAUGAGUUUCGGGACUUCAUGUUGGGUGGGCGUUUGGGGAAUAGAUUCCCUUUGUUCAUCAACAUUAUUAAAGGGGGAUUACUAGUAGUCCACGUAAAAAGCAUAUGCAUAAUUGUAUCAUUUCCUUCUUUUCCUCGAUCUUUGUUGGCUUUUCCCUCUCAUAAUUCCUCAACUAGAUGGGACAUUGUUGAGUGGAACAAAAAAGGGAACCCAUCAGAGGAGAAAAUAUGCCAUGUCACAAGUUUUACUCAAUAACGUAUCUUACAUCUCUCCGAUGACUACACGCAUGAGAUAUUUAGAAACAUAAUUGUAUGUAGUCGGUUAAAUAUAAAAAUUCUAGUGGAGAGAUGUGAGAAAUGUUAAUUAAGUCUAAUUGUUGUAAAAUCGGUGGUAUGUGUGUAAUGGAAUAAAUGAAAUAAGACACAAUAUUUAUGAUGUUCCUCUACAGUUAGUGUGACUGGAGUACGUCAUCGGGGUAGCAGUGGUGCUUUCAUUCAUUAUCUAGAAUAAUAGGAGUAUAAAAAUAACUCUCUUUAUUCUCUCCUCUCUUCCUCUCUUAUUCCUCUCUUUGAUGUUGUCUCCUCUUCUUACACCUUGGCCUUCCUUAUAUAGGAAAAUGAAUAGGCAAGAUGUUAAAUCAAUACCUAACAUACUCACUUAAUGCCUUCACCUACUACACCCAUUAAACCUUUACCUAUUACUCCCACUACAUAGUGGACAUCCAUAUUUACCAUGCAUUUUUACAACACUAAUGGCUUUCUUUGCAAGUAAUUAGUCAUUGAAAAUAGCUUUCUUAGGUAAUGAAAGCGCCAGGGCUGCUUAUUAGAUAUGUAUGUGGAAGAUCUUGUUUCAUUUUAUAUGAAAUCUGGGUAGUUAAUUGAGCACAUAUCUCGUUUUACAUUGGUGGAUAAAUGAUAUGAACCCUUUGAGGAUCCAAAACAACACCAUAGCUCGUCUCUUCCCUUCCACUUUUCCAUUUCUCUCAAUAUUAUAAAUAAUCAAACAACAUGAUAUAAAAGAGUAAACAUACAUGCAUUAGUUUUUUAUUUAAGAUAGGUUUAUUCACACAUAUAUUUUUACUUCUCAUACACCUUUGUUAAUUUUUGUUCAUUGAUUUUCUUCAAUUCAUUCAAUUUGACGAGCGAAAAUUAAAAAGAGUGUGAGAAGUAAAAAUAUAUGUGUGGAUUACAUUUUUUUAAGGGUUUUUUAGAUAUAGGCCAUUGAAACUCCUAUUUUCCAAAUAAAAACCCACCUAAAUUUAAACAUUCAAAUAAAACCCAAAUUUCAAAUAAACUGCCAUGUAGACAAAUAUAUGACCAACUAUUACAAUACAUUUACAACUUAUGCCACAAGAUCCUAAUUUGGUCAAUAAAUGUUAUUACUCAUCCUAAUUAUGAUGAGCAAUUAAAUCCAUAUGAAUAUUUUACCUUUCUUGUAUCAUAAAUAUUAGCAACAUAUAUAAAUUAAUUUACCAAAUUAAAAAAAAAAGACAUAUCUUGUACAGAAAAAAUAAUAUUGUUUGAAUCAUGUAAUUACCUACAUACAAAUUAAUUUACCUACUUAUAAAAUAUUAUACUAAUUUACCUGCAUUUUGAAUCAAGUAAUUACCUACAUACAAAUAUUAUACUAAUUUACCUACUUGUAAAAUAUUAAAUUAUUUUACCUACUUGUAAAAUAUUAUGCUAAUUUACCUACAUUUAAAUUAAUUUACCUAUUCCAAAAAAAAAAAGUGAUAUUAGAUAAUGUUCGAAUGAUGUCUUGUAGGUAAUUAAAUAAACUUUUAAUCUAAUGCACAUAAAUCAUGUAGGUGAAUUAGACAAUUUUGGAAGUAAAUUAGACCUUUUAAAUUUUGGUUUGAUGGAAUAGGUAAAUUAGACUAUUUUGAAAAUUGCGCGGAACAUAUAAUUUUUGUCUUGUGUAUUAGGGAUUGGAGUAUUAGCCGAAGCUGUUUUAGGUUUAUUGUUGUGUUGGUAGGUAAAUUAACUUAUAUAUUUAAUGCACAAAAUUAUGAAAUUAGUAUUAUUAUUUUUAAUCGGCACUAUAUAACAAUUUGAAAGUUAAUACAUUGAAUAUACAAUUAAUGGCAUGAAUUAUUUUUUAAAAUACAUAAAAUUAAUUAAAUGGAUAUAACAAGUAACUGAUCCAAAAAUCAUCCAAGUAUUAAUAGGGGUAGUUUAGGCAUUCGGAAAAUACACAAUUUGAAAAGUAAAACUUAAUUAAAGAAUAUGUUUAGUUGGAGGCUAGUCAAUGGGCUUCAGAAACCAAAAGGUGAUGGAUUUUAGUAAAUAAAAAUAUAGUUUCAAGGGGUAAUAUCAAAUUUUCAGAUUUUUUUAACAGCCAACCUUGGUGUCUUAAAGUUAUGCUAUAAUGCUUUCUUAUAUCUUAAAAAACACAUGAAGAUGGGGAUUUCUUACUUUUUGGUGCCUAAAGAACCGAAAGCUUUUAUGAACUUUUGGGUGUGUUUCUUUCUACUUCUUGGCUGCCCACAUGCAUCGCAUAUGUACGUAUAUAUGUACGUCUAUUCAGUACAGAAUAGUACAAGCACGCACCAAAUACCUUUCGAUAUUAGCAUGACGGGAAAAUGCAGAUUUAUUUAAUAUGCCAAUUCCUUUCACACACAUUUUCAAACACAUCGAUUGAUAAGAAAGAAAAAUUGGGAAUUAGCUAAGAUGAUUGAAAAUUAAAUCUCAAUUGAAUAGCUGAUUAAAUUAAAUAAUCAAUAAUAUAUAUAUAUAUAUAUAUAUAUAUAUAUAUAUAUCAUAUUGGAAGCUUAAUAUUCAAAGGUUGAGAACAUAGUGAUUAAUUAUUAACGAUACCGAAACAUUAAACAUUUCAACAAUUGAAAUUUGAAAAAUGAUCAUUUUCACCAAUUUCUUAAGAAAAAUAGAACAAACCCCAACAAGCGCGGGUCAAAAAUCUUUAUUGGCUCACCGCUGUCGAUUUCGAGAAGUUCAUGCUUGGCGAUACCACUGGUGGUAUUUCACUCAACCACACAAGCAUUGUCAUAGGAGAAAAACUUAAACAUAUGUGAGUGUGCAAGCAGUUUGAAAUAAGCGCCACCAUAAUAUCCUAGAUACAUGUGAGCUUCUCUUCAAUAUUUGACAAGAUCCUUUUCUUUCUUCUCUUUUUUUUUUUUUUUAAUUUUUUAAAGUGUUUAGCAUUCAAGAUGGUACUCUACAUGUAAUAAUACAAGUGGAGGGAUACGAAAAAUAUAUCAUUUCCUCCACUUGUAUUAUGAUAUUGGAAUGCCACUUGAAUACCCAGAACUUAGAAAAAUCUCUCCUCCUUUUUUAUCUUUUGGGGAUGUAAUGUACAUCUUACAACGUGCCCUUCAAAUAUAGGGUUCACAAUUCACACAUAACUAACCAAGAAGCAAUUGGAAUGGUAAAUUUGAGACUAUCUUCUGGUUUUAUAUUAAAAUUAAAAUAUGUACUUUAUGUGCCAAAGAUGAAGAGAAAUUUGAUCCCUUCUUUUAGGAUUGUCAAAGAUGGUUUUGCUUUUCUAGGUGAUGAUGAAAGUUUGAAUUUUUUUUAAAAGAACCAUUUAGAUUGUGUUUUGGGAACUGCAUAUUUGCGUGACAACCUGUGGUGCCUGAAUUAUACUCUGGAGUCUAAUAAUUAGCAUGUUUUAAACACAAUCACUAAGAGGAUGCACUACAUUGAUGAUUCUUUCAUUCUUUGGCACAAAAGGUUAGGACACAUAUCCAAAGAAAGAGUUUUAAAGCUGUCGAAAGCUAAGUUGAUUCCUGAAUUGAAUUUUGCUACUGCAACUGAGUGUGUUGAUUGUGUCAAGGGCAAAAUGACUAAUUUUAGGAAAUUGGAUGCUAAGAGAACUCAUAAUUUGCUAGAAAAGCAAAACCAUCUCUGACAUAUGUGGUCAUUUUCCAACAAAAACCAUUUGUGGUAACUCUUGUUUUGUCAACUUCAUUGAUGAAAUACACUUAUUUAAUUAGUGAGAAGUCAUAUGUCCUUGAUUGUUUCAAAGUUUUUUAAAACUAAGGUAGAAAAACAAUUGGGAAAGACUAAAGAUUGUUAGAUCAGAUAGAGGAUGAGAGUACUUUGGUAGGUACACUGAGGCUGGACAACACAAGGAUCAUUUUGCUCUUUAUCUUGAACAACAAGGCAUUGUAGCUCAAUACACCGCACUUGGAACGCGACAACAAAAUGAGGUUUCAGAGAUGAGGAAUAGAACUUUGAUUGGAAUGGUAAGGAGUAUGAUGACAAGAUCAAAGUUACCAGGGUUUCUAUGGGGAGAAUCACUGAAAACAACAACUUAUAUACUGAAUAAAGUCCCAAGCAAAGCAGUUUCAUCUACACCUUUCGAAAUUUGGAAUGGUAGGCAGCCUAGUUUUGAUCACUUCCAUGUUUGGGGAUGUAAAGCUGAGACUCGAAUUUACAAUCCAAAUGAGAAGAAACUGGAUUCAGGGACUAAAUCAUGCCACUUCAUUGGCUACUCAGAGAAAUCUAAAGGUUUCAAGUUUUAUUGUCCUCAAGCUCACACCAGGAUUUAAGAAACUCACAAUGCCAAAUUCUUUGAAGAUCAAUAUGUUGCAAAAUUGUCACAAGGCAGAUUCCUUUCUGAAUAACCUGAUCAAAUUGAGAAUCCUUCUUGCAGUGAUGCUUACAAAGAGAUUUUAAUAACUCUUUCACCUGCAAUUGACUUGGAGGAAAAUCAAAUGGAAAUUCAUCCUAAUGUAGAUAGAAUGGAAGUUGAUUUUGGGUCUCAAUUAUAGCCAUAAGGGGAUCAAACUUCAAAUUCUGGAGUACAAUUAAAUCCUAGCACUUAAGUUCUUAAUGAACCAGCAGUCACGUUGAGACAGUCAACUCGAAUCAGAAAGACCACCAUGUCAAAUGACUAUGUGUAUUGCAGGAAAGUGAAUUUGAUUUCGGUGAUAUAGAUGACCCUCUCACCUAUUCACAGGCCAUAAACAGUCCUUAACAAGCUUUAUAGAACAUUGCAAUGAAAGAGGAGUUAAAAUUGAUGUCACAUAAUAAAGUAUGGACAUUAGUGGCUUCUAAUCCUCAAAUCAAGGUUAUAGGAUGCAAAUAGGUCUAUAAGACCAAGAAGAUGCUCAGGGCAAGAUUGAAAGGUACAAGGCCAAAUUAGUUGCUAAAGGUUUCACUCAAAGAGAAGAAGUUGACUACAAUGACACGUUUUCCCCUAUCUCUAUGCUCAGGGCAAGAUUGAAAGGUACAAGGCCAGAUUGGUUGCUAAAGGUUUCACUCAAAGAGAAGAAGUUGACUACAAUGACACGUUUUCCCUUAUCUCUUCCAAGGAUUCUAUGAGAAUCAUAAUGGCACUUGUUGCACAUUUUGACUUAGAAUUGCAUCAAAUGGAUGUGAAGACUACUUUUCUUAAUAGUGAACUGCAGGAAAACAUUUACAUGAAGUAGCCUCCUGGAUUUGUUAAAAGGGGGGAAGAAUAUAUGGUCUGCAAGCUAAAUAAGUCUAUUUAUAGACUGAAGCAAGAAUCGAGACAAUGGUUUUUGAAAUUUGAUCAAGUUGUUACAAGACAUGGCUUUGUGGAAAACAAAUUAGAUGAUUGCGUAUGCAUCAAAUGGUCAGGUUCAAGCUUCAUCAUUUUAGUACUAUAUGUUGAUGAUAUUCUCCUUGCAAGUUCUAAUAUGAAGCUCCUUAAUGACACCAAGGCCAUACUCAGUAAGAAUUUUGAGAUGAAGGACCUUGGAGAGGCAUACUAUGUGUUUGGCAUUGAGAUCAUUCGAGACAAGUCCAAAAGGCUACUUGGACUAUCACAAAAAGGUUAUAUAGAAAGAAUAUUGCUGAGAUUUAACAUGGAAAACUGUAAUAAUGGUGAAGUGCCUGUGAAUAAGGGAGACAAAUUCUCUAAAGCUCAGUGUCCCAAGACAUCAAUUAAGGUGGAUAAAAUGAAGAACAAGCCUUAUGCCUCAUUGGUGGGUAGUUUGAUGUAUACUAACAUUUGCAUAAGACCUGAUAUAGCAUUCAUAGUAGGAAUGUUAGGUAGGUUUCAAGAAAAUCCAUAAGAGUAUCAUUGGGUAGCUGCAAAGAAGGUUCUGAGGUACUUGCAAAGAACCAAUGGGUAUAUGUUGGUUUAUGGCAGAGAAGAGAAUCUAGAGCUAGUUGGCUAUACUGAUUCAGAUUUAGCUGGUGAUGUAGAUGACAGAAAAUCCAUAGGUAGCUAUGUGUUUAUGCUUGAGGGUGGUGCAAUUUCAUGGAAAAGUGCCAAACAAACUAUAAUAGCAACAUCUACAAUGGAGGCAGAGUUUAUAGCUUGCUUUGAAUGAAUGAAACAAGCUACAUGGUUAAAGAAUUUUGUGACUGAUUUGAAGGUUGUCAAUUUUGUGCAAAUGCCUGUUAAAAUGUACUGUGAUAACAAUUCUGCAGUAUUCUUUGCUAAGAACAAUAAGAGAACUUCAGCUUCAAGAUUGAUGGAUGCAAAGUUUCUUAAGGUUCGAGAAAAGGUUAGAGAAUGAGCAAUUCAGGUAGGACAUUUGAGUAUUGAUGCAAUGAUUGUAGAUCCUUUGACCAAGGCAUUACCAAUUGGAGUGUUUAAAGCUCUCUCGCAUGGGAAUUAUUGAAUCAUUUGAUCAGUAGGAGUGACUUGUUACAAAGUGAUUGUUCGAUUGCUGCAGUGAAGUUCAGAAAGUUGGUGCAGCAAUAUAGACAAGUUUUAUGUUUAAAUUUUAAAGUUAUGGUUGAUUAAAGCUAGUAUCAGUUUAGCUAGUCUUGUUUUCAGUUUGUUUUGUUUUUCGAAUUGGGAUAUGUUAUGAUGGUCUUUUGUUUUGAGAAAUAAAUUUGAGAUAGUUCGUUUGAUGCUUGAAUAAACAGUUUGUCUGUUUAAAGCAGUUGUUAUUGAAUUAUCAAUUCAUGCAUUGGUUGGAGCAAUUAUCUUAAAUUCUUGUUGUCAAUGGUGUGAAAUAGUGGUAGCAAAUUGCUUUGCUUGGUUAAUGAUGUUGAUCGAGUUCACAAUGAUAAAGAUACAAAUUGAAUGUAUGUAACUCUUGAAAACUGUUUUCCAUCAUGAUUAGGAUAAAGUUUCAGAGUUCUACAUUUUGAAAUGUAUAUACGAUUGGUUGUGAUUGAAAAAACUUUUGUUAACAGACUAAGUGAUCACUUCUAUCUAGGUAUGAUUGAAUAAACCGAGUACCUAAAAUUGUUCUCAUACUCAAGUGGAAGAAUGUAAGAAUAUGAAUAUGAGUAUGAGAUGGAGAGGUUUUAAGACUUGUUAUAGGUAUUCAAUUUGAUAGAAAGUCUUGUUGGUGAAAGGAAUGCUGAUCUUUGACAGAAAAGAAUUUUGUAUAGCAUUUAGAUCAGUUUUUAUAAGACACAGAAUUAACAAGUGCUUGGUUCCUAUGUGGAUUUUGAUAGGGAAUCCUAAUCCAUUUUGGUGAGGAUUAUAUGUAUAUAUAUAGUGGUCUCUCUUCUCAUAGAUGUAUUGCUUAUUUUUUGGACUAAAACCUAUCUGUAAGUUGAGGCCUUGAUAAUCUGCAAGAGAAAACCAUUGGAAGUUUGCUGAUAUGGCUUUGAGUUCUGGCACUGCUGCAGGUAUGUUUUCUUCCUAGUUUUCUUACACACAUGAAUUGGUUGAUUCACUUGAGGUUGUAGUUCAUGUUUCAGUCUUGGUGUUUAUGAAUUUCAUUCUAACAUUUUCCGAUGGCAUCGACCCUAGCUUCGGUCAGGGUCGGUUGCCGUGUCUUUUCUUUUCUCUUUUCCUUCUUCUCUCCAUGCCUCUACUGCUAUCUUUUUCCCAAUUGUCACUUUGGUCUCCCCAUUUCCUCUACUGCUAAAGGUAUACCUCUUCCCUGUUCAUCUUUGAUCUGAUCUUUAGCCAUGUUUCCUGAGGAGAUUGUGUGCAGAGUUUUGAUGUUUACACCGGCUGGGUUGUUACAACCAUUACUACUAUCUCCUUGUUGUUUGUCGAUUAUUCUGGCAUUGUCAUUCGUGGUAUCCACGAACUUCAUACUAAUAGUCGGCUCCGUUCAAUUAUUCAUUGUUUAUGGCUGUGCUUUAGUAGCAAGUCAGGUUUGGAGGUGGCAUCUGUGGAGGCGCUACUGCAUGGAGGAUGGGAAUUGGCCAAUGGACCUGUUUUAGAGGGUGGAGAUAGUUGUGGAAACUUCUGGCGGAAGCUGUUUGGUUUCUAGGCCUUACUAUUGUUGGGCCCUUUAUCUGUUUUACUUUUGUUUUAGGCCUUUUUUUGUUGUAAUUAACGUGUGUGUUGGGUCUUCGUUGUAAGGUGUUUUUUUGUAUAAUAAUAAUAAUCUCCUUUGACCAAAGAAAAAAAUCAAAACAAAAGCUUUUGUGUUCAUCUUCUUCUCAAACAAAGAACACACUCAAAAUCAUAGGUACGAAACUUUUCUCUUUUUUUCGAAUUUUUAAAUAAAAUUCCUGCUGUUUUAUUGAAAUCGCACCUCAUUGGACAAUAAAAGGCCGAAUGGAAAGGAAUUGUUCGACAGAAAAAAGAUAGAACACAUAGGUUUUGAAAUAAAAUUAAAGGAGGAUCAAUUUAAUCUUAGACAUCUAUCUAGAAGAGAAGUAUUACUGGACUAACAAAAGCUGUUUAGCAACUAGGGGAUGUGCUUCACAACCAAAACUUCUACAAACCAAACCAAACCAAAUAAGCUUUUGUUUAAUAUAAAUUCACGAUAUUUUUAGCAACAUUCUCUCGUACAUGCCCACUAGAUCGCCAUCUUUUUUGUGCAACUAAUGAUACCUAAACAAAAUUUGCAAAACAAGAUACAAUUACAAUGUGGUAAAAUAUCACCUUAGUAACGGAAAGUUUUUCCAAGCAAACCUGUUAAACAUGGAAAUCAAAAGGCAGAAAAUGGCAAACCACGUAUUGACUGGGAAGUAACUGCCACGAAAACUAAAAGAACUUAAUUAUUCGAUAGCCAAAGACUAACUGUACGUUUUCCAUUUCAACCUAAAAGGUAACUGUGUAAAAAUCAAGACCUCUGUACGCGAGAGAGGAGGGCAUAUGCAUGAUGUGUCCCAGCGGCCGGCUACCCCCUGUUGGUCGUAGGUGGUGGUUGUGUUUUUCGUGUGAUAUCUUGUUUCUGGAUUUCACUGUUAUAAUUUACGUAUUUGUAUUAUUGAGAUUUUAUAUUAUUUCUCAAGAAUUUAUUUUAAUUUGUUUGAAUUUAGAUUUUAAUUAAACUAGUUACGAAGUUUGACGUUUGGAAAUUAAAAAUCCGUAGACCUUUCGAGGUCACAAUUUAUAUUUUCGAAUAGAUCUUGAAACCACGAACAUAAAGGCGAAAGCCGUUUACGAGUCCGGAUUAUAACGGUAUAGUUACAGACAUUUGAAGUUGUUUUACUAAAUUAUAGAGUUUAAAUCAAUUAAAUUUCCACAAGGAAGAAGCCUAAUCAGAUUUAAGCAAAAAUAAGAGGACCAAUCAGUUAGAAGGAGAAGAACCAAUCAAAUUAAAGGGGGAAGGUUUCAAAAAACAAAACAAAAAAAGAAGAGAGGGGAAGGGUCUAAUUCUAACCCGUUUUGGGAGGAGAUUGGACCCAUUAACCCACCAACUUGACCCGCUUGUAUCUCCUCCGUCCGAGCUCUAUUUUGGGUGAUCUUGGUGUCCAUGGAAAGCUUUUGACGAGGCCUACAUCUCUGUAGUGUUAGAUUUCCCAUUUUCUUUUCCAUCUUGGCUGUUCGAAGCCACAAAGCCACGACUUUUCCAGUGAUUCCGGCAACCAUUUCCUUCGAGUGAGAUAUGAAACUUCAUCUACUCUUCAUAAUCUUCAAGUUGGUAUAAUUGGUUUGUGCUUUCAUAUUCAUUUUAGAGUUGGGUGUUUAGAACCUUAAAAAUCCAGUUUUCUUCGAUGAAUUUGGACGGUUUCCGGUUAGAAUUUAUCAUCAUCCUAGUUGUGAAAAGUGUUUCCCUUGUUGAACUCUAACUACCACGUAAAUUUGAGCUCAUUUAGUUAAUGUGAAAAAUUCAGGUUUUCUAAACCCUCCACCUAGGCUACUACCAUGUGUGGUGAUGCGUGGGACUGUCCACGAGUGUUGUCUAGGUACCAAAUACCUUCUAAUGAUCCUAUGAACCUAUGUCUAGCUCGGUUUCCCGAAAUUCAAUUGUUUGGUGUGGUGAUCAAAUUGGACCACCACUUGUUUGUGUGAUUGAUGACAAUCCGAUCGUUGGAUCAUCGUACAAUUUUGUGAGCACCCUAGUUAUUAAUUGUUAGAGCUUUGAGAACUUAUGGAUCGGAAAUCCGAUAUGUGCAUUUUCCGGAUUGAAUAAUCUUAUAUUGUUGACCUUAAUGGACAUACCUAAUCGACGAUUGACUUUCUAGUCAACGUGCUCUAUUCUAGAGUGUCGUUUAUCUCUAGUUUGUUGUUGAGGCUUGCUGGAGCUUAGUUGGCUCAUCACGAUGAUGUGUCGUUUCCAAUUGACGUGUGUCUUGAUAUAUGUUUUAGUGGCACCAUAUUGAGUUAUACUUGUUUAUUAAUUAUGCUUUCUAUUGAAUUGUAUUUUUAUUUUUAGCAUCGAUCUAUGUUUAUUAAUUGUGAUUCAACUGUAGCUUGGAAAUGUUUAUGAAAUGUGGUUAGAUAUGUAUGAUUAGUAUGAUGUGUAUGAUUGUUUUUAUGACGAUGUGAACCCAGAAUCUUAUGAGAAGUAUUAUGUAGAACUUUUAUGCUUGUAUGAUAAGAUAGUUAGUGGUCAUGACAAGUUGAUAGUGCAAGUGAUUACGAUGUAAAUCAUAGUGGAUGAGAUAAGGGUAAGUGGUUUGUGUGUUGAUCUAACUGCACCAUGUAGCAGUGGUACAUGGAUGGUCCUGCUUGGUUAAUCCAUGUUGGGGGAAAAUACUAUUUAUGAAUCAUGUUGGUUAAUCCGCGUUGGGUGAUCCUUAUGGCCAUGUAUGCUUAGGAGUGAUCACGCUUGGUUAAUCUGCGUUGGGUGAUCACUACUUAACAGUUCUAUAGGUGUGACUUUGCUUGGUUAAUCCGCGUUGGGGGGUCACUACCUACCUGAUUAUCUUAACCCUACUUGGUCAAUCCGCAUUGGGGGGUCACUAAUGGUCCUGCUUCGUUAAUCUGCAUUGUGGGACCAUACUAUAUAUGGAUCACGCUUGGUUAAUCCGCGUUGGGCGAUCCUUAUGGCCAUGUAUGCUUAGGAGUGAUCAUGCUUGGUUAAUCUGCGUUGGGUGAUCACUUCCUAACAGCUGUAGGAGUGACUUUGCUUGGUUAAUCCACGUUGGGGGGGUCACUGCCUACUUGAUUACUUUUUCAUGGUGGCUUUGCUUGGUUAAACCGAUUUGGGGGGCCACUUCCUGUUUAGUUACUUAUGUAGGCUUCGGCCGAACUGCGUCCCUCUAGCCCUAGUUUUUUUUAUGUACAUAUGAAUGAUGGUUUUGAGAAUCUUGAGGUUUGAAUUAGAAAAGUCGUUGGAUGUCUGGGUGACUUCUUCAGAGUUUGCAACGACUUGAUUAUGAUUUCAUAAAGCAUGAUUCUAUGCUCAAUGUUUAUAAAUUGUGAUCGAUGGUCGUAUUAUUGUCACUCACCCAAGCCUUGUAAUUUAUCCAAGUGUCUGAUUGGCCCAAUGUACCAUUUCCAUGAUGUAGGCAUUGACUUUACAUGUGACAGAUCUGAGUAGAUUACGAGAAACCGCUUGAUAUUUUUGAUUCCGUUGAGUGAUCCAGAAUCCUUGCUCUUGCUCAUUUCCACAAGGUUAGUCUAGAAUCCUAGAUUCGAGCGAAGGGAAUUACCCGCACUAGACCUUGUGAAUAUAAAUUAGAUUUACCAUGUUUAUUACUUAUAAUCCAAUUUGGGAAUUAUAUAGAGUUCUUUAAUUAGAUUCAUAAAAUGAUAUGUUAUCACAUUGUUUGAUUAACGUAAUUAAAUGCUAAGAUCAUGCAUCUUUAAUUCAUGAAUUGUUUAAUUGACGGGAUUGUGGAAUGACGUUGAAUAUGAUUGUUAUUAUUAUGAUUAUUUUAGUUGAUCAAGGUAGCUUGAGAUUAAUACUAUGCUUCGUUGGUUAUUUGAUAUGUUACAUGCUAUGGAUGUAUCACGUUGAAGAUAAAGUGAAUGAUGUGAUAAUUGUUCGAGUGUAAUGUAUGACGAACUACGAAUGAAUUAAUCCCUAUUGAGGAUACGUAGGCAGUCUAACGAGAAGGUUAGAUGCAGCCAUAAGAUAUACGAAAAAUCACUAUGAAAUUUGACUAUGGAGUUGUAAUUUGCCAUAUUCCAGAGGUGGAACAAGUUUGAGAUACGAGUUUUGGUGAUGUCACGUGUCGAUCCUAGGCGUAUGUUGGGAUCGGGCGUGACAGUUCGUCUAGCGAGAUAUCAGUCUGUUUGCAAAUAAGUGGGUUGGUGGGUGUGCUUAAGGGCAAUUUGGUGACAAAAGUGGUGUUCAUAGAAAAAAAAAAAUUAAAGUUCAAAUUAACUUUUUAAUGGGUAGUAGAAAGAAAUUGGGGUGAACUUAGAUAGGUUCGUUGUCUUUGACCUUGUGUAUGGGAUCAUCAAUGGUGUAGGGUGGAAGAGAUUAGGAGGCCUCCUCAAAUUUCGAAAGAUCGUGACCAAUGAGAAAAUGCUUGAUUUGGCAAAAAGCCAGAUUGUUGAUUUCAACAAGUUUGACGAAGUAGGUGGUACUGAGGCCAGAGAGAGAGGAAGAGACAAGACAACCCUAGAAAGCUAAGAGAGGAGACGACAAGGAGGAGAGAAACCAAAAAAUUUGCAAAACCCCAAGACCUAUUUAGGCUGAUACCAGAGAAUUAUGAAUCCUUGAACUAAUUUAGGCUGAUACCACAUCAAGAAACUGUUUACGGAGUAAAAAAAUUGAAGUUAAAGGAUUCUAUUUUAACACUAUCAGCCUAUAGGCCAACUUUAUCAUGGCCACCUCUAUAUGGAGGAUAUCUUCUUACUUCGUUAUAGAACCCGAGCUUUGAAGACUGUUUCUUUCGUGAAUGCAACAAUGCAAUGGAGGUUCAUUGGGCCAUUUGGCACUUUGGUAUAUCCAAUAGACAUUUUAGCUAAAAUAAUCAUGGAGAUUUGCAUAACACAACAUUUUGGUCAUUGAAAUUUGAAAUCAAUAGAAGUGGUCUCUGAGAUUGUCCACCAUCAAUCAUUUUGAUAUUUGUGUGCAAAAUCAUGUUAAACAAUGAUUUAAAUGACAAAUAUUACUCUCAAUUUAAUAAACAAUAGACUAAAAUAAUUUGCCAAAAAUUAAAUAGUAUUUUGAUCAUUUUAUUCUUAUUUAAUAAAGAUUUUUCAUGGAAUGAUCAAAAUGAUUGAUAAUGGACAAUCUUAAAAAUCAAUUCUAUUAAUUUCAAAUCUCAAUAAUCAUUUUGAUUAAAAAAACUUAUCCAAUAAAUGUUUCUCACCCCCUUUUUAGCAACAUAAUUUAGUGUUUAAAAAAAAAAUCAGAAAAACGAUGAAUUUUUUAUUUGCAAUUUUUUUUUUCACUUAUUUAUAAAAAUAUUACUAUUUUAAAGUGUCAAUAUUAAUUUUCAAAGUAUUAAAGUUAACUUAAAAUUUUCCAAUCCCUUCCUACUGUGUAACAAGACUUUCAUGCAGUGAAAUAUGAUUUAGUACGAUACUUCAACUUAAAACACAUUGUUAUGUGACAAAAUACAACGUAUCAUACUAAAUAUUAAUUUGAAACACCAACACGGUAAAUACUUUUAUCGUGAUAAGUUUCUCUUUUCAUAACUAUUUCUGUUUCAUAAUUAUCUGCGAGUUGAAAGUUGGAUUUGGAUCUGACGUAGACGGUUGAAACAUGGUCCCAGAAAAUGAGUUUCUCUUGUUUCAUAAUUAUUUGUGUGAAUGGGUCCGGAAGAGACACAUGACUAAAGUAAAUUAGGUGGUGGAUUAUUAUCGACCAAGUAGCGUACAAAGAGCUGAAUAAAAGUCAAACAUUACACACUAAUGAAAUGAUCACCAAGUACAGUGGAGAUCAUAUGCACUACAGAUGGAGGAACACAGGAGCAUCAAAGUCAUCUACUUUAGAAGUUGUACAUGGAAAACAAGUAAAGUGAAAGGCCGAAAGUGUAAGACAAGAAAGGAAAGGUUGAAGAACUUCCAAUCAGUGCACCCAUCCACACCAGUCAGCUAGGGAAAUUAGAUUGCUUUCUCUGCCUUUUUCAAUAGGCCUCCUGCUCCUCCUUGCCAUUCACCAAACCAAGGAUUAAUUAAAAUAAUUAAUCGUAAACAUCAAUCUCAAAAGGUGUAAAAGAAGAAAAGAAAAGGCCCAUUUGAGAACUAAAAUAAGAACUCGAUUUUCGCACUCCAUAUUUUUUUACGAGCUUUUAAAUUGAAUAAAUCAAAGGAGAAUCAUGAGCUUUUAGAUUGAAUAAAUCAAAGGAGAAUCGAGCAUGAGAAACAAAUGAAUGCAGAACGAACGGAAUUUGGAAAAUGAAAUAUUAUCAAAGCUUGAAAUUAAGAAGAACUCACAUGCUUGGGGUUCAUGAACUGCACAAACUUGUUCUUUGCUUUGCCAGUGGGGGAUGAUGUUUUGCUGGAUUGGGGAUGGUUAUAUUGGGGAUGGUUAUUAAACCCUGCAUACUUUCUGACUUGAUCUCUCACAUAUCUCUCAUACAAGAAAGCUGCCCCCUUGAACUGUGGCAGAACCAACCAUGCCACAAACACAAGCUUCACAUUGUACCAAAUUGGUAACCUACAAAUAUUCCACCACCAACAAACUUAAUCACAAACUAGCAAACUUAAAUUAUGAUAAACUUAAACAAAAGCCCGUUCGAUAACCAUUUCAGUUUUUAAAGAAAGUGAAAAACAAAAUUGAAAAUUGAAAACGAAAAAAUUGAAAAUUGAAAAUGAAAUGGAUAAAUUUCUUAAUUUGUUCUUACAACUCAAGGGCUGGUUGGAGCACCAUCUCCAUGAGAGUGAGGAAAGAGUAAAUAAUCCAAUAGGCAAGCCACUGCUGAUCAUCUAGUUUGGAUGUGCUCUCUAUGGCUACCACUGAUGCAUAUCUACACUCAAAUCAUAUAAACAUAAAUGCCCAUUGCAACAAAAACCAAAAAUUAGUACAACUUCAUCUCCUUAUUGGGUUUCAUAAAAUUAAUCAAAAGAAAUAAACUUGAAGAGAGAUAGAGACAGAGAGAUGCUUACAAAGGGUAAAGCAACAUCAGCACUGGCCUGUAUAAAAUGUCAAGAAACUUUUGGGUCAGAUGACUGAUCAACCAGGAAAAAAAAAAAAAAACACAAAUUGGAAAGAAAAUCGAACCAAAAAUUAAGUAUUAAAAAAGCAAGAAAAUGAAGUUGUACCCAGCAACCGUGUGAAGUUGGGUAAGAAAGGUCCAAGCUUUUCCCAUUUUUUACUUUGUGGGUUCCAACAAAAACACCUAGAACUUGAAAACUGAAGAAAAAAAACUCGGAUGGAAAAAUCGGGUUGGUUGCAAAAAGUAGUCAGUCAUAAGGGUUUUAGUUCAGAAUUUCAGAGCAAGAUUGAAGAGAGUUGGUGCUGCAUUUAUAGAAUGGCAAGAAGGGGACACGUGGCAGGAGAAAAGCAAGUAUCGGAUUCUGCCUCAAGCGUGUCAAGGUGGAUUAACAUCGCCCAGUCCAGCGGUGCGGUCAGGUUAGUCAGGUGCGUGAGUGGCUGGAGGCCCUUGGGCUCCGUCAUUACCUCAAACGACACAAUGGCUUUGUGCUUUGCUCCAGACACAAGCCACGUAUUGGUGUUUUGUGGGUUUUCUGUAGUUUAAUCGAGGUCGGUCACACGUGCCGGAGGAUGAGGACAGACGACCCAAAUCUAAUAGUGUCAAAAGGACAUACUUUCUAUUUUUUUAUUGCAGGUCCGAUUGAGACGGUUCAUUCAAGGUGGGGUCAUGAUUUAUUGUGUUGUGAUGUCGGUGGUAAAUAAAGAAUCUCUUCCUGAGAGUUAUUUCUUCUGGCUAUUUAUAUCGGGUUUUAUAUAUUUAUUUAUAUAAUAAUUUAAUUAAACGAUUAUGGUUUUUUAACUUUUAUGUUAGUUUUUUAAGUUAAUUUUUAGAUGUGUUAAUCUUAAAUUUUUUUUAUGAACUCUUUAACCUAAAAAGUUCAAAUUGUGAUAAAAUUAGAUUUCAUUACUUAUAAAUCGUUUGUUAGAUGUGCUAUCUUAAAUUUUUUUUUAUAAACCUUUCAACCUAAAAAGUUCAAAUUGUGAUAAAGUUAUAUUUUAUUACUUAUAAAUCGUUUGUUAGAUUAGAUUAUGUUAUCUCAAACUCAUUCGUUGAAAAAAACAAAUCCUCACUUCGUCCUCUGAAAUAAUUUGAUUUUCACGUAUAACACAAUAAUCCUAGCAAAUAAUUUACCUAGCACCAAUUGGUAAAUUAGUACCAUACAAUUUUGGAAAAAAAAAAAUUGAAAAUUUCACCCAUUAAUGCACAUGAACGUUAAAUCAAUUUAAAAUUUUAAUUCUUAUGGAAUUUAAAACAGUUAUUAAUUAGCCAAAUUGCAAGAAAAAUAAGUAAGAAAAAAGAAUUCAAAAAAUAAUAAAAGAAGAUUAUAAGUGUAUUCGCAAGUGGAGUAAGAGUGAUAGAAUUUUGCUCACAUAGGUUGCUACCUUUUUUUUUUUGUAGGAUCCACUUUUUUUUUGGGCUAGAUGUAGUCCGAUUUUAUGCUACCUAAGAAAGGAAGUUGUCAGUCCAAGUAGUGGAUCUAGCCUUAUUUUUUGACUCAUUGGGAUGAAAUUUCACGCUAAGGCUGGAAAUAUGGUAGCAUCAUGAAGGAUAAAACCCCCAUUGGAGAUGCUUUAAAGGCCUAUAUUUAGGAGUGGAAUUCUCUUGCCUCCUAUUUUUAUCCCAUUACUCCUAUUUUUUAACAAUUUGUUCAUUGUUUUAUUAUUUAUAUAAAAAAUCAAUAUAAGAUGUUGGCAUAACUUAAUCGUAACCGUUCAAGUAAGAAGGAAGAAAAGGAAAGAGGUAUUAAGAGGAGAGAUAAUAUUCUUUCCAAUAUUUAAGGAGUUUGCUAGAUAAGUAAGAUUACAUGAGAGGAAGCCCCAAAACAAGCACAGGAGAAAAGAAAAGACCUUAUGAACAAAUAGAAGUCUGGGCCAAAGCAAAAAUUGGAACCCAUAACAAGAAAAAACAAAAGACAAAGAACUUUUUCAAUCUUCCUGCAACUGUUGCUAUAGGAAACCGAUGAACCAAAAAAGAAAUUGAAGCCUCAAUGGGAGAUCUGUAAAAGAUGGUAUUGUAGCAUCCAACCUAAACUAGCAACAUGUGUCAUCUUCAAGCGAUCAAAAGAUGAGUCAAACAUAACUCUCAAAAAGCCCGACCCACCACCACAUACGUGAAAUCCACAAAUGUGAGAAUGACUAAGAAGGGCACCAGCAGCAAAUGAAAACAAGAAGACAUCAAACGCAAUAACCCCAAAAGUAAAAACAUCUGAAAAAACCUUAUCCCCAACAAAUAGAAACAGUCCCACGCCUUUUGUCUCUGGCCAGCAACCACCAGAAUAACCACCAUGAAGGAUCCAAAACUAGAGCAGGUCUGCAAAGACCAAGGCACAGCAAAAUCAACCAAAAAAUGGCAAGCAUACCUAAAGCAAAAAUCAAAUCUUAAAGUAUAGAAAUCGAAAUUCCAGAUCGACCGGGUCUAAAACUUUAAUAUCUAAUUUUUGGGUAAGGGAGAAGGAAAAUGGUGGGGAAAAACAUGGUUGAAAUGGACUAAUGUGCAUAUUGGUGAUGGAAAUAUAGAAGGGAUGAAGUUGAGGAAAAGGGGUUGCAAGAUGAGGACUAAGGUAUGAAAAGAACACAGAAAGUAAAAAGAAAAAAUUCAAGCCUCCAACUCUUAAAAUGGCAAUCGGAUGGGGAAAUUGAAGAAACGGGAGGGAUGGUGAGAAAUUGCAACUGUUAAAAUUCUCUCACAAAAUGAGAGAGAUACCCUUACAUACAGAGGGAAGAGCUCUCACAGAAGAGAGAAAUGGAAGGUCUAUAAGCCCUACAAGAACACUUUAAUGAUUAAGACUUCAGGCCAUCUCCAACCGAAGGGUCUAGAGGGCCGAAAAUAGCCCGAAAAUUGUCUUCAACCGAAGGCAAGGCCAGAGGGCUGUGAAAUCUUAGAGGGCCCUUCGGAAUCAGAAAGGGCCAAAGGGCUAGAGGGCUGGCCACUUCCAGCCAGCCAGCCAGCCCCGAGCUGGCCAGAAUUUUUUUAAAUGUGUCGGAUUUCCUGUCGGUUAUAACCAACAGGAAUACAUUCUAUUACUUAAUAUAAAUGUAUCACUGUCGGUUAUAAUCGAUAGUAAUACAUUUAUACUAAAUAAUAUAAAUGUAUUCCUAUCGGUUAUAACCGACAGGAAUUCUUAAGAAAAAAUUCAAAUGCAACGGCUAGCUGACUAUCCGUUGCAUUUGAUUUUUUUUUUUUACAGUUUUAUUAUUAUUUUUUAUUUACAAAAUUUUUCAUAUAACUUAUAUUUUUUCCUAUAACUUUUAUUCUACAAAAUUUGUUUCAUAUUUUUUUUAAAAUUUUAUUUUUUCCUAUAACUUCUAUUUUACAAAAUUUGUUUCAUUUUAUUUAAAUUUUUUUUCUAUAACUUCUAUUUCACAAAAUUUGUUUCAUUUUACUUAGCCAUUGGAUUUAAAUUUAAAUUGUAAUUUGUAAAUAACAAAUUAUGUUUGGCCUUAUGGGCCUUUAGCCUUCGGUUGUAAACGAUUUUUUGUGAUAGGGCUAAAACAAGCCCUCUGGCCCUCGGUUGGAGACGGAGGCAAAUAUGACCAUGUACUGUUCAUUAAAAUAUUAAUAUCUUGGAGGAUCUUGGAGGGCCAGAGGACUAAAACAAGCUUUCUGGCCAGCCAUCGGUUGGACAUGACCUUAAGCUACUUAGGGUCAAUGAAGUCUAAACUUUAUACUUAGUGCAAGUUCAUUCUUUUGGAAAAUGCAACAGUAGUGGCAGGGGUAAAACAAUUGAAUGUUCUUUAUUAUUCACUCUAAACAUUAAUUGUCUUUGUCUUACUUAUUCAUUGAACAAUGACGAUUACUAACGAUUACUGAUCACAUAGGUUCUCUUUUUUAUUCCUUAUAAUUGUGUUUAAGUGUAAACUUUGCAAAUUUGCUCUUUGAAAAUAAAACUCCAUAUUUAACGCCAAUAAUUUACUUUCAAAUGCAAAGUAAAGCAUAACAUUACAACCUUGUACAAUAUUAAAACAAUACAAUUCUCAGUGGACUACAACCUAGCAAUGUUUUGCGCUCUAUGCGGCUGCCUAGGUGGCGCCUAGGCGCUGGACGAUGGUCAGCCUUUCCGAGGAGGUCAAAAUCGGAGAGAAAAUCGGCAAACAAUUAGGCGGAACUAAGGCAGAUGUUAGGCAGCCGUUGGGCAGUGUAGGCGGUCGUGACGGAGCCUAGACAGCUCAGGAGUCAAACCACCACCACCCAGAAGAAGGCAAUGAGGCAAGCAACCGUCGAGGCCACACUGUUUGGGUUAAAACUUAAACUUUGGGCUCAAAAGGGAGUUGGCCCAAAAGGAGGAGAGAAGCCCGAAGCCCAGCCCAAGCCCAGAAGGCAGAAAAGGCCUUUCCCGGCUAGGUGCAGAUCAUUUGCACCACUUGCUUACCUGCCUAGAGACCAAGUGGUAUAGACCAGCCAGCUAAUCAACCCAAAAGUACUUUACAGUGGCAGUACAAGUAAAUAGCUGAUGAGUCAUUACCCUUCAAGCUGUAUUCGGGCAAGAUUAUUGCUACAGGAGGCCAAACCGAAGUGUCUAUCAAAGAAGAAAGAGAAAUCAGAGAUAAAGACACUCAAACAAACAAACAAGUACAAGCACAAACUCUGCUCAAAGCCAGAUUUGCCUUCAAACGAAGAUGUAGUCAGCCCAAGCCUUCAUCUCUUUCGGGAUAAACCCUCACCAAAAGCCUUUGUAAUAGCUCUGCUACCUUGUCCUAAGCUCGCUGUAGUAUUGAUUUCUUUCUGUAAACUCAACUCCCUACCUCAUUUUCUAAAGCUCUCAAACCCCUUGAUAAACCACAAAGAUAGGAAGUUGCAAGACGAUCAGCCUUGCCCAACAAGGUUAAACCUUGCCCGACCCUCUUUGUUUUUGUCUUUUCAUUCAUUAGCCUAGCAAUAUGUUAUAUAUUUCCAGUUGUAUUCAAGUUAUUUCUAGUAAGAUGAUGAUUAAAAGAUUCUCUCAGUUCUUGAAUCUGAUUUGAAUAUGUCUUCACAGUUCAAACCAGAUCUAAGUUCUAAGCUUUCGGGCAUGUAAGAUUGAUCAUUCAAAAGUCCUUGGCCUCAAGGCAUAAAAAAGAACCUUAUGUGGACUUAACCCAUCCACGACAAGCCUUGAUAACAAGAAGUCCAAAGUUACUUGGGGCGCAAGUAAUCAAUUUAUCUCUUAGUUUUAUUUCUAUUAUAUUAUGAUUGUAGUAGAACGUUUGAGUAUAGAAGGAAUUCUGAUGGGAAGCCUCAAUGCCUAUAUCUAAGACUCUACAAAGGCACCUAUUUAAGUUCAUUCUUUUCUGCGGGCUCGGAUAAUAAGAAGUAUAAUGGUUAUAACACUUCUGCAAACAAUAAAACAGACAUCAUAUAUUCGAGUACUGGGUUAGUUCUUGAUCGGAAGCCUCAAGGCCUACACCUAAGGCCCUACAAAGGCACAUGUCAUAACUAACAUGUCCUCUCGGGUAUAUGUACAACUAAAACUUAACAUCCAUUUUACAUCUGCCAUGCUAAAGAUGGCAGUGGCAUGCCUGAGCACUUUAAUCUUGAUUGUGAGCCUCAAGGCCUAUACCUAAGGCUCCACAAAGGCACCUUUCAAAGUUAACUCUGUCAUUCUCUUUCAGCCUUGCCCGACAAACCUUGCCCGACAAGCUUUGCGCGACAAGCCCGACAGAAAGCAUCAACCGGCGCCAACCUUUCGGGGAGCUGUGUGCUCGUCGGCUAAGAGACAUCCCCGACAGAAAUUCUAGCCACGAACAUAGUUUUGGCACGCCCGGUGGGAUUUCAUUUGUAGAAAGAAUGACAGCCAUAAACUUUGCAGAAAGAAUACGAAGGACGGUUCUUCUCAAACUUUGCUACAAAUGGCAGAUCAAUCAAGAAAUCCUUCUUCCCCAUCAAGACAUGUGGUCCCGGAAAGCCCAUUUUCAUCCGGAAAGUCGGAAGGGAGAGGAACUAAUGAGGAAUUACAGGCUAUUAUGAUACAAAUAUUAAGGAGUAUGGAAAAAAUCUCUUUGGAAACCAAGGGGGAAGUCAGUAGACUGUGUACCUUAACAGAGAAUUUAUAGAGAAGGUUAGAUCUGGAGUUUUCCACUCCAAAAGGCGCUCAGGGAAGUGGGAUGAGCUAGGUUACCAUAAGAAGUAAACCAGUUAUUCCCCUAUUUCCAUUGUUAGAAGAAGAAAAUGAUAGGGGAAAAAAGAAAGUAGUUCCUGAAGGAAGUCAACCCGUGAUAGAACCAAUUCUGGAGAAGGAAUUUCCUAGCUUCCCAUUAUUAUCAUUUAAUAAUAGGAAGCAAAGCGAGCAAGAAAGGAUGAAGUAUGGGAUGCCCAUAACAACAGGAGAUUCUAGCAAAAAAGAAAGCUCUGCAGCUUCGGAUAAACCUCUUCCUUAUAGGCCACCCCAUUGGCUUAUAAAGGAGAAAGAACCAACUGGAGAAAACCUGAGUCAAAGUAAGAAGCAGGCGCGGGCAAUGACCGAAGCCCGAAGAACGAAUCUGCCUUUCUCCUCCAAAAUAAUAAUACAGCUACUCAACAACUGAGGGAUGAGUUGGCUGAACUAAGGAGGACAGUAGCUCAAAAUGCUCAACCACGGGCUCGGCCAGUGUUCAGGGUUACUUAUCAAAAGCCUUAUCCUGAAUACAUUGAUGAGCAAAAUCCAUUUCCUCUCAACUUCAAGAUGUCUGCAUUCCCAACGUUCACAGGUGAAGAUAGUAGUGUGAAGACCACAUUUUCAAAUUCUCCAAUCAUUGUGUGGCAUAUGAAGACAACCCAAACUACAAGUUAAGGUUGUUUGGGAAUUCAUUGGCGGGAUUAGCAUCUCAGUGGUAUUCUCUAUUACCCCCUAACUCUAUUGCCAACUGGGGGCAGAUGGAGAUGGCCUUCCACGAACAAUUUUAUAGAAUAGAACAAAAAAUGACUAUUAAUGAUCUGGUUGAAGUCAAACAAUACGAACAUGAAUCCACAGAGGACUUCAUGAUGAGGUUCAGGAAGACAAGGAUGAGAUGCCAAUUCCCUGUUAACCAAGCUCAGCUCAUAUCAAUUGCUCAAAGGGCUCUGAGAUUACCUUUGAGGAAAAGAUUUUAUGAUACACAAUUUAACGAGCUACAUGAGUUGGUAAUUGCUGCCACAAGGUAUGAGAGGCUGUUGCUAGAAGAGCAACAAGUGAAACAUACUUCCAAAACUCAUCCCUUCUACAAAAAUAAAGCUGCAAUUCAUCGUGUGGAGGUAGGAGAAAUCGGGCCAGAACAGGAGGAUGGCCAUGACAGAGAGAAAGUUGAGGUGUGUGCUGCUGAGAUGACCACGCCUUUCAAACCAUUGAUGGUGAAAGGAUUAGUUCAACCCAUCAAAGACCAGAAAAUUAUGAUGAACGAUGGAGGCUUUGUCCCUAUGAAACCUUCCAAAUACCAGAGUGAUUCGUUCGAUUUGGCCAAGGCACCCGAGAUUUAUGAAAAACUGGUGCGGGCAAGAGUAAUUUUGCCCGACAGUACUAAAAAGAUGCCCAAACUAGAAGAGCUGAGGGGGAAGAAGUAUUGUAAGUUACACUAUACCUUCAACCAUUCUAUAACCAAUUGUGUCUAGUUCAGAGAUUGGAUACAAGACCUUAUAGUGAAGGGAAAGUUGUUGCUUGACAAGCCCCAAGCUAGUAUGAUGGUUGAUACCAAUCCUUUCCCGGAAGCCCCUAUCAACAGGAUCAAUCUAAUUUGGGUGGGGAAGACAGGAUCAUCAGUUGUUACGACAGAGGAGAAAAAUGGAUCCCAAGUUGCCCCAGCACCCUCGCUCAAAUAAAAGUACCAGAGGGGGGACCAAAGGAUCAUGGUUAUGUCCUAAAAUUGGUAUUAGUAAGGGAAGUAGAAGAAAGAAGAAAAUAGAUAAGGGGGCAAAGAGUUGCGCGAAAUAAGUUCAGACAAAAGCCAGAAGCAAAGCAAGCAAAAGGCAAAUACAUGUUCAUUAUGCUAAAAGAAGGGUUACAAAUAAAUUCUAGUCUAAUAAUUUUACAUCUUUACUCAUAGUGAUUAUUCGAGAAUGAUAUGUCUGCAUGAUAUUCGAGAAUGAUAUGUCUGCAUGAUGGCAAAGAUCCUACUAGGUUCGGCCAAAACAGUAUGGCUAUUUGCAAGUUGAGACCUAGUAUGCUCUAAUUCCGAGUCUGACUUCUUCACUUCUUCGAUUUGGUUUUUGAGGGUGUCAAGAAGAGUUGCUUGCUCAGCUUUUAGAACAACCAAUUGUUCCUCUAGCUUCUGGAUUUCAGAAGUCACCACUCCGAUCCUUUCUUUUGUCAGCAAACCAUCAUCCAUCAACCUUUCAACCUGAGCAGAAGUACUUGAUUCUUUCUCCUGGAAACAUCUUACACGAUUGGCUUGUCUUUCAGCUCUCUUAUGUUAAUCCCGGAGAGCCUCAGGUUCUCAAAGAAAAAGAGAAAUGAAUCAUGUUGAGUUUUGGAUAACUGACCGGUUUUGAACAGCUUCAUUGUAACCUUCUCUAUAUCAUGAAGAGCCUUGAGGCUGAACGAAGCUGAGAAGUCCUUCCUAGCCCAUUCUUGGAAAGCUCCUUGCUGCUUUUGAAGACCAGAAGAUACGACAGAAUGCUUUGAAGAUUUCAGCCUUGUCUCGAGUUGCCCGAAUUCUUCAAAAAGUUCGGGCAACUUAGCAAUUUUUGAAAAUGAAGAAGCAUGAGGAGGAUUUCGCACUCCAGUUUCCUCUAAUGAAGUAGUUAUUACUGAUGGGGCAGUUUCUGUCUUCCCGGUCUUCUCAAUUCCAGGAUGGGAAAUCUCGGCACUUCCAAUAGUUAAAUGAGGUCGGGGAAGCUUUGAUUUACGAACCAAACGAUGAGGAGAGGCUUCUUCCAGAACUUGCUGCAAAGACCAAAGAAGACCAGAUUAAGACAAAAAUAUAGUUUGAAGCAAAGGGAAGCCUUGGGAAGAAGAAAUAUACCUGACUGAGCCCUGAGGCUUCACAAGGAAGAGUACCAAUUCCUGGUUGAGAGGACGACUCUUUACCACUGACAGGGGAAGAAAAAGCUGCGCCUGAACCUUCGCCAAUGCCCUAGAAAUAUCCAAGGAUAGCAACAAUUAUUAGUAAGCAUAUUGAAAAAGGAAAACAGGAAGAAAAUACCUCCAUACCUGAGUUUGACCCCGAGAAGAAUGAGGUUCAUCGAUGGUAACCGUUGGGCAAGCAAACACCUGCAAUACCGCUACCCUUGAGGUCACAGGAAUCUCAGGGACUAUGGGUUCAUCACAUAUUACCACUGAUGGUUGGGGUGCUUCAUAUAAUGAAGAAGGCUGCAAGAAAUAUGAAUAGAAGUUAAUAUGGAAGCAAUGCACAGAAAGUCAAUGUAAGGAUAGUUACUCACCAAAUUACUGUCCUCAUCCACAAAGUGCAACAUAACUCCGGUAGAUGAAUCAAAUUGAGAAGAUGGAGUUACCUCCAUGGCAGAAGGAGAAAUCAAAGACUUCAAAGGAGAACCUUGACUAGGCAAAGGGACAGAUACCCCGACCUGGAGAAAGAUAGAAAAAGAGAAAGGUUCAGGCAUUAGCUCCAGAGACUAUAAAAUUGCCCAAGGAUCGAGAAAGAAGGGAAUGCACCUCUGAAGGAUUAACUCGGGGAGGAGAGAGGCUUGUUUCUCGGGCAAGUGGCGAAGAUACCUCGGGUGGAUGAAGCUUUUCCUCUCUUGCAGCCUGAUUCAAGUAAAUCAUGCUCAGGUUGUGGAAGCAGGAAAGAUUAUGCAGACAUAAACAUAAACUAUACCUCAAGUUCUUUAAGGGUAAUAUUUCGUAAUUCUUCAACCUUUUUGUGCAUUUCAACUCUUAAUGGUUCCUCCUUAGAAGCAAUGGUUGGUUUCUUAGAUGUUUGAGGUCCUGUUUUCAAGGAAAGCAAGGGUAAUUAGAUAAAGAGGAAGGGUGGUGAUCUGAUAAAAAAGAACAAGACUCACUUGAAGACUUUUGCUUCUUUCUACCUGCCUUAGAAACUGGAGCAAAUGAGGCUGAAGACUUGUAAGUUUGGACGGUUCUUGGUCUCUUACUCUUUCUAGUAGGAAUUGGUCAUUUAGUCUUGGGUGGGGAUGCAGGAUCAGAAUCUGAGGUCUCAAUCACAACUGUUUUCCUUCGCUUAGACACUUGGGUGAUGACUUCAGACGCUUCUUCUUCAGCCCCUGAAUCUUCUGAAACAUCCCCACCUUCUCCAGCUUCUCGUCUUUCAGCCUUCGCCGCAGCUCCAUGAAGAACUGCUGCAUUAGCUGAGUCAUCAUCGGACUCAAUAGGUAUCGAUUCAACAUCCACUUGGGCUGCAAGAUCAAGCAAGGUAAAAAUUUAGGAGGCUUCAGAAGGGAUGUAGAAUCAAGAUAAGAAGAAAAAUUACCUAUUAGAAGUAACCGAUUCUUUUCCUGGAUCAUCUCCUUCCAAUUUCAAGUUCGCCUGAACUAGGGUAUGAUUUGAGAGAAAGUUGACUGAAAAGGCAAUCAUGAGUCUCUCUCAAGUCCCUUCCAUAUUUCUUGGUCCAUUUAUUUUCCCACCAAGAAGAGAAGAGUGAGGUGCAUUCAAAAUUGAGGAUGAUGAACUUUCGGGCAGCCUGACCCAUGACUUCAAGACUAUGUUGGGCGGCUCGAAAGGUCACCUCGGAAGGAGAUGACAAUCAAAAGGAAGUGCCACAAUGGACAGAGUCAAAGAACGGGAUGGGAAUGGCUUGCCUAAAACCUAACUGCCUGCUGCAAAAGUUAAGGUGAUACACCUCCAACCCUCGAUCAUAUCGAUUGCCCCGAACUCCCCAGGCCAUGUCUCUCGGUUGAAUACAACUAAUAAAUUUCUCCUUGCAAAAGGAGGUGGACUCUUCCCCAGAAGCAUCUUGAAAGGCUUGGUCAGAAAACCAAGGAUAUCUCCUCAAGACCGACGCGCCCCAUUCCAAGUCUGAUCGAGUCCUACAAACUUUGAAGAAGUAAAAGCAGGCGAAGGUGGAGUGAUCGGUAGGAGCAGCUUCAACUAGGAUUCGAGCAGGGGCCACACCUUCUAGGAACUCUAAGUUGGCAGCCCGAAACUCUGGAAAGUACCAUUGAAGCCAUGUUUGUAUCAUCCAUAUGGGCCCAUUCAGGUUAGUCUCAAAUGGCUCACCUUGAGUCAUUUCAAAAAGAAGAUGAUAAAUAUGAGAAAGAAUGAACGAACCCGUAGCUACAUCAUCAAAGUUAUGAAGAGUUUCCACCAAAGGGAUCCAUUCAACCUUCACUCCUUUAGACUUAUUGGGGAAGACAUGUUUGUUGAGCCAGUAUAGGAGGAAAUACAUGUGCUCUUGAUCUUUAUCAACAUGAGAAGAACCUGCUCCAAAAUUUUCCUUUACAAAAGGGAUGAAGCUCUUGAAGGAGGUCCCAUAACUCUUGAAGGUUACAAAAUUAUAUUCCAAGGAAAGGAAAGAGGCAGAUGACCUUGAGCUUUCAGCAAUUGAGGGGGGAGCCCAGUCUUGAGUAACAUCCAUUAUCCUGCCCGAUGGCCUUAGCCCGAAGACCUGGGCCAUAUUAAGAAUAGUCAGAGACAUGGGACCCAUACGGAAGUCAAAAGUGUUUGUGCCCGAAUUCCAGAAGAGAAGAGAAGAAGCAAGCAAUUCAGGCUUGGGAAUAAUGGUAGUUUUCGAAAGCAUGAUCAAUUCAUAAAUACCAUUAUUCAUCCAUUUCUUCUUAAAAGUUGGCUCUAGUUCAUCGAUCCACUGAGCCCAAGCCGGAUCGUUCAUCUAAGGAAAGCCUCGACGAUAUGACGACCACUUGGAUGAAGAAAUGCCCGACUUAGCCAAAAAGGGAUUUGUGGAAAACCAGUUAUCCCUGGGCAUAUUGUUCUCUAUCACGGAAAGGACCUUAGAAAUCCAUGCGGGACCCAACGAUUAUGCCCCAUGCGCUUCAAAGAAAAGCUCAGAAUACAAACCUGCCCGAGGGCGAUGCAGCCCGUUGAGUAGACGGCGUAAAAUGGCGAUGCCUUUGCCAGACUCAUAGGAUAGUUGGAUUUGGCUGGGUCCUGAAGCCAUUUGAUGAGGUUUGGAAGGGGAAUGGCAAAGAAGACAACAAGGGUAAAAGAUAUCGGGUAAAGAGCAAUAGAGAAUCUGAAAGAUUUAGAGAAGCAAAAUGUCUUGGAGGUUAAGAAAUUUUCAAUUGCAGAGGGAUUUCGUGCUAAAGAAUGCAGAGGAUUCGUGGGUUAGUGAAGUGAUCGCAAGAAAGUGAUGAUUAUCUUUAGAAUGUGUGCAAAUCCCCAGAGAGAGACGUGGGUUUUAAUGGGGAACUUUUCAAUCAAUAUUGGCGCUUGAAAUUCCAGGCUGAAUAUCAAUUGAAGGGGGCACUGUUUGGGUUAAAACUUAAACUUUGGGCUCAAAAGGGAGUUGGCCCAAAAGGAGGAGAGAAGCCCGAAGCCCAGCCCAAGCCCAGAAGGCAGAAAAUGCCUUUCCCGACUAGGUGCAGAUCAUUUGCACCACUUGCUCACCUGCCUAGAGACCAAGUGGUAUAGACCAGCCAGCUAAUCAGCCCAAAAGUACUUUACAGUGGUAGUAAAAGUAAAUAGCUGAUGAGUCAUUACCCUUCAAGCUGCAUUCGGGCAAGAUUAUUGCUACAUGAGGCCAAACCGAAGUGUCUAUAAAAGAAGAAAGAGAAAUCAGAGAUAAAGACACUCAAACAAAUAAACAAAUACAAGCAUAAACUCUGCUCAAAGCCAGAUUUACCUUCAAACGAAGCUGUAGUCAGACCAAGCCUUCAUCCCUUUCAAGAUAAACCCUCACCAAAAGCCUUUGUAAUAGCUCUGAUACCUUGUCCUAAGCUCGCUGUAGUAUCGAUUUCUUUCUGUAAACUCAACUCCCUACCUCAUUUUCUAAAGCUCUCAAACCCCUUGAUAAACCACAAAGAUAGGAAGUUGCAAGACGAUCAGCCUUGCCCGACCCUCUUUGUUUUUGUCUUUUCAUUCAUUAGCCUAGCAAUUUGUUAUAUACUUCCAGUUGUAUUCAAGUUAUUUCUAGUAAGAUGAUGAUUAAAAGAGUCUCUCAGUUCUUGAAUCCGAUUUGAAUAUGUCUUCACAGUUCAAACCAGAUCUAAGUUCUAAGCUUUCGGGCAUGUAAGAUUGAUCAUUCAAAAGUCCUUGGCCUCAAGGCAUAAAAAAGAACCUUGUUGAUGCACAAAAUCAGCGAAGACUUUGGUACAACAGAAAGUGUCAGGUUUUGUGACCUUCGCUUGGUUGCUUCGGUCACUAGUGAGGAUAAGUACGUAAAUGAAUAGAGACAGAGAAGCAAACACAGGAUGUACGUGGUUCACCCAGAUUGGCUACGUCCACGGAGUAGAGGAGUUCUUAUUAGUAGUGAAGGGCUUACACAAGUACAAAGGAUCAAGCUCUCAAUUUAGUGAGUUCUUGUGAAUGAUUUAACACAAAAUGGCAUUAGGCAAUAUUGUGGGGGAAUGACCCCUAUUUAUAGAAAAACUUGUAGCUUUGUCACAUUGACAUGUGUCAUGUUAUGAUUGGUUCUUGAUGUUGACACGUGCUGCGCUCUGAUUGGCUUCUAAUCUUGACACGUGUCGAGUAGUGAUUGGCCUCCUGGUCGGAGGGGAACUCUUCCUUGACAGUAUAGCGUUGGCCGGUGCUCGGUAGUUUCGGGAUUGGUCAAGUAUGGUACAAACAGUGCUCCCCUAAGUUCCCGAGUGAGGGAAACUCCUCGGUUGGGGACUUGCAAGAUCCAAUCCCUUGAGUAAUCACGAAACUUCUAAGUACCGAAGUGUGGUCUGAUCUUCAUCUGCCCUUCUCUGGAAGUACCUUUCCUCCAUCCGGGAAUGGUGUAUUUAGCUGAUGUUGACGCACAAGGUAAUGUAUCAAUUUCACUUGAAGCUUAGUUGUAGUUUCGGGCUUAGUCAAGUGUGAUACAAACCCUAUAGUAGGAGUCCCCCAAGUCGCCGAGCUAGGAGAUCUGCCGAAAGAGGUGACAGACAAGGUAAGCAGUCAAACUUCCAAGUAAGCAACCCAGGAUCAGAGGUUUGACUUCGGCUUCCGGUUGAUUGUUCUCAUUCUCCUUGUCUCUCAUUCAACUGCCAGGAUAAGGAGAAGCAAAUGGAUAAGAGAUGAUAUGAGAUACUUUUGCUUUUGAAGAAGUAACUUUCCACAGGCUUAUUCUUGAACUGUGCUGGAGGGUUUUCUGGUGCCCUUCAGAGUAUAAGGCCGACUCAAAAAUUUGAGGGUCAAAACAAGUCCAUCAAAUCUAGAGUACGUUCGACCUUGACUUGAUGAUAUGGGAUACUUUUGCUGUUGACGGAAUAAUGAAUGUGGUAUGGAAAGGUGUCGUGCUGUAGUGAUCUGUUUCAGCUCACCGUUGAACCUUCUGCUUCAAUCUUUUGCAUGGCAGAAGUGGUGUGCAACCUUUGCAUUUAAAUGGUCCUUCAGAACAUUCCUUCAUAGUGACUCAUCCACGCUUGGCAGCUUCAGUGUAAAGAGCCAAUAUCUGAUCAACUGUCAUGAGGUAUUUGCCGGUGGAAUUCGUGACCUUGACAGCAGUUGAGGAUGAGUACUCGAGAGCAAUGCUAAGUAAGCAACCAGGCAAAGGCUCCAGGCAGUCAGUUCCAAAUUGGAGGUUUGAUUUCAGGUUCCGACUGACUGCUCUCUUUCUCCUUGUCCUGCAGGUGUGGACAAGGACAAAGACAAAGACAGGGAGAAAGCAUGAUAUGGGAUACUCUUGCUUUCGACCCUGAUGAUAUGAGAUACUCUUGUUCUUGGUGUGGCUUAUUUGCUGAGGUAUUAUCGGGGGGAAAUAAAGCUGAGUAUUUCGAGAGGUUAUGUUGAGGGUGCCUUUUCGAAUGCGAGAAAGGGUUGAGCAUUUUUGCAGGUUUGCCUGUCCGUUGAGGAGGGAGGUCAAUGUAUAUAGGGAUUUCCCAAUAACAAGUAGUAAUGCUAUUCCUUUACCCUUCUUGGUCACAGCAAUGUAGUGGGAGCUGCCAGCUUCACGUGUUUUUAAUUUUGUCAGAGCACUUUGAAAAAGUGGUAUGUGGUAUCUGGAAAGCUGAUAUUACGUGUGAAGAUUACAGACAAGCUUUAUCUAAGGAAAUCUGGCUCUCGAAGUUCUGAGAGUUGUGCCUCUUCGGUUUUCGAACAAGCAAUCCCGUCGAGGAUCUGACUCUCGAGAUUCGGAAAGCGGUGCUACUCCGGUUUUUGAGAAAGUAAUUAUGUUGGGAGUCUUUUCUCGAAUGUGAGUAAAGGUUGGACGUUCUUGCCAACCUGUCUUGCCAACAAAACACGGAGGUCGACACACAUAGGGACUUUCCAGUUGUCAAGCAGUGGUGCUGUUCCUUUACCCUUAUGGGUAAUAGUAGGGUAGCUGGAACUUCGAAAUUCUCGUGCCUAAACUUUGUCAGAGAUCUUUGACAAAGUUAUAUGUGGUACCCGAGGAGUUGAUGGUGCAUAUGGAGAGCGGUGAUUGAAUCAGUAAGAUUCACGUGCUUUCUACUUCACCAGAAAUCUUCGACAGAUUGCCCGUAAUUUCCGCAAAGCUGAUUGUGCAUGUGACAGGUGCUGACGAGGCUGCAAAAGCAGGUGCUUCUUCGAUUUCUGAGAUCGGCCCUCGUGGUCUCUGAGCAGCCCAGCUUUUGAGAAAGCAAACGCCUCUUCGAUUUCUGAAGCUCCGUCGAGUGCAGAUUUUUAUAGAGGCUGGCAUUAAGUUCCACAGCACACUUGAAUCUCUACCAGUAGAAGCUCAUUUCUUGCACUUCUAAGAUCUUGAUUUGUCUGACCUCUUCCUUCUUCAACACAUUUGAAAAUGUCUGGACCCUCCGACCGUCGUUUUGACUUGAACCUUGGAGAAGAGACAGCCACGCCUUCUCCAGACAACAUAUGGCGCCCAUCCUUCAUAUCCCCUACUGGUCCUCUUACCGUUGGGGAUUCUGUGAUGAAAGAAUGAUAUGACCGCUGCAGUGGUGGCCAGGAACCUUCUCACUCCCAAAGAUAACAGACUACUUUCCAAACGGUCUGAUGAGUUGGCUGUUAAGGACUCUCUGGCUCUUAGUGUUCAGUGUGCAGGUUCUGUGUCUAAUAUGGCCCAACGCCUAUUUGCUAGAACCUCCAAGUUGAAUCAUUGGCUGCUGAAGUGAUGAGUCUCAAACAGGAGAUUAGAGGGCUCAAGCAUGAGAAUAAGCAGUUGCACCGGCUCGCCCAUGACUAUGCUACAAACAUGAAGAGGAAGCUUGACCAGAUGAAGGAAUCUGAUGGUAAGGUUUUACUUGAUCAUCAGCGGUUUGUGGGUUUGUUCCAAAGGCAUUUAUUGCCUUCGUCCUCUGGGGCUGUACCUGGUAAUGAAGCUUCAAAUGAUGAACCUCCAAUGCCUCCUCCUUCUGGGGUUUUGUCAAGUACUGAGGCUCCGGAUAACCACCCUCCGGUGCUUUCUCUUUCUGGGGCUCUACCGACUGCUGAGACUUCCCCUAAGCAACCUUUGUGAAGGCUCCCUUUUGUUUGUUUAUUUUGACUCAUGUAUAUGUACAUAUUUGUGGCUUAUCGAAAAUAUUAAUAAAUAAGCUUUGCUUCAUUUCAACAUAUUGUGUUAAAUACACCAAAGCCUUCUUCAUAAAGUUCUUUGAAUUUUUUGCUUUUGUUGAAACCUGUAUUGUUGAAGCUUUGUGAGUGGAGCAUGUAGUUUGAGGUAGUGUUCCCUUAAUUUCCCGAGUGAGGAAAACUUCUCGGUUGGAGACUUGAAAAAUCCAAGUCACUGAGUGGUUGUGAGACUGCCGAGUAUCAAGGUGCAGUAGCAUAUGGUGGGAGUCCCCCAAGUCUUUAGGCGAAGAGAGUUGCCGAAUGAGGUGUCUAGCUAGUAGUCAAUGUCAUGAGUAGGAAAACUUCACUUGUUUCUUUUCGAAGUGGUAACCCAGGGCUCUUUCUUCAUAUAUUGUUUUUUGUUAUGAAGAUGUGUUAGGCCCAAAGAAGUGGAGGCCUAGGAACUUUUUUUUUUAUUUUAUUUUUUUUUUAUUUUUUUUAUUUUUUAUUUUUUACUCCCUCCCUUUUUCUUGUGUCAUUUACAUGGGUGUAUUCGAAUGGAGCUGAAUGAGGGGUAGGGUAUGACUCAUUAUCAUGUGCCAUGAUUUUGUCUUCCUUUAGCUUCUCUUUUGCUUUGCUUUAGUCUUCCUUUAGCUUUUCUUCAAUAUAACACCAUUUUCUGUGGCUCAGAUCGCAAAACCAUCUGCAUGAAAGUUGUUCCUUAGCUCGUGAACUACAACAUAUCCAAAUUGGAGAUCCAUCGGAGCAGUACAACUCCAGAAAUUCAGGUAUGAUGAGUGAUUGUUCGUCAUUGUAUAUCAACGCGUCAAACUUGUUGUGAGCUUCAAAAACUCCAUUUUCUCUUGCUCAGAUCAACAUACUUUCUUCAUCGAAGUUGUUCCUCAGCUUGUGAACUUCAACAUAUCCAAAUUUGAGAUCCCUCGGAGAAGUAUAACUCCAGAAAUCCAGGUAUGAUGAAUGACUGGUUAUUAUUUUUCUGUCAACCCGUCAGAGAUUUGUUGUGAGCUUUGAAAACUCUAUUUUCUCUAUUGUUCAGAUCAGCAUGCUUUCUUCAUUGAAGUUGUUCCUCAUCGUCUCUUUCAUAACAUAUCAAAAAAUUCAGAAUGAACUAAUGGUUAAAUAUUUCCAGAUCUUCGAAACAUCACAGCAGCUUCGAAAUCUGCAAGAAUCCGACUGUCAUGCUUGGAGCUUCAACACUUUAAUUUCCGUCGCUCAAACAGAAAUGGUUCCUUCUUGAAAGUUGUUCAUCUGCUCAAGAACUAGAGGGGUGUCCAAAAUUCAGCUCCAUUGGAGAGAAGCAGCAGCUGCAAAAAUUUGAUAGAGAAAAGGAGGCGAAGCUUUGUUGGAUUUCUAGGCUGGGGGAAGAUUCCAGUUUUUGUAGCAACUUCAGUACUGGUGAAUUGCUUGUAUAUUUUUGUCCAUAACUAAAUUUUGGACUUUGAAUUAUUAUUUGAUCUAUCAUAAUAUGUUUGGGAACAUAUAUAAGUGAAUAAAUAAGAAGGAAGAUUUUGGGCCCUUGUGGGUGUAAAACAAAAAAUGUUUAGGUUGUGUGAACAAAAUUUGUUUAUUUGGAGCAAGGUUUUGUGUUGAAGCUUUGUAGGUGAAGCUUUGGUGUUGAAGCUUUCUAGGUGAAGCUUUGAUGGUGAAGCUUUGUAGAUGAAGCUUUGUAGAUGAAGCUUUCUAGGUGAAGCUUUUUUAGGUGAAGCUUUGUAGGUGAAGCUUUUUUAAGUGAAGCUUUGGGGGUGAAGCUUUUGAGGUGAAGCUUUGUGGGUGAAGCUUUGGAGGUGAAGCUUUUCGGGUGAAGCUUUUUUGGGUGAAGCUUUGUGGGUGAAGCUUUUUAGGUGAAGCUUUGUGGGUGAAGCUUUGGAGGUGAAGCUUUUUUAAGUGAAGCUUUGGGGGUGAAGCUUUUCGGGUGAAGCUUUUUUUGGGUGAAGCUUUGUGGGUGAAGCUUUUGAGGUGAAGCUUUGUGGGUGAAGCUUUGGAGGUGAAGCUUUUUUAAGUGAAGCUUUGGGCCCUUGUGAAGCUUUGGAGGUGAAGCUUUGGAGGUGAAGCUUUUCGGGUGAAGCUUUUUUUGGGUGAAGAAGCUUUGUGGGUGAAGCUUUUUGAGGUGAAGCUUUGUGGGUGAAGCUUUUUUGGAGGUGAAGCUUUUCGGGUGAAGCUUUUUUGGAUGAAGCUGUUUUUUUUUUUUUUUUUUUUUUUUGCCGCUUGACACGGUCUUCAUUUGCUUGUUUUGUAGUGACUGUGGAAGACGGAUUGCUUUCUGAUUGAGAAGGGUUCCGGCAUCGCUUUGCACCAUCUUCAUGUGGGUAAUAUAGGAACUUCCUUAUGUUUUGAUCAUGCAUGUAGUGAUAGAAUUUGUUUCUUCUUAUUGUAGAUGUCAGAGCCUGGAAGUUCUAGUGAUGAGGGCUCUUCUAGCUUUAGCUCUAAGUCUGAGUCUGCAAUGUCGGAGUCUUCAGGGUCUUUGUUAGAGUCCGGUACUAGAGAAACAUUGGAUGAUCUUCCCAACCGUCAAACUUUAGCUAUUGCUAGUUCUUCCUCCAUGGCGUUGGGUGAGGGGGUUGUUUUUGAUGCCAUACCCAUAGUUCGCUCUGAGUUCACAGCAGACCAUCUAAAGAAUAACUUGUUAGAUAAUGAGAAGCAGGUUGAGGCGCUAAGGCAGUCAUGUAAUAUCCCUCGUAGUGUAGGGAUACGUUUGGUACAUGAUGAAGAAUGGCCUUCUGAGCCUCCCCAGGGUCAUGUUAUGUUCUACACCAAGAUAUUACUGACUUUAGGGGUGAGACUACCUUUACAUCCGUGGUUGCAAAAGAUGUUAUCUUUGAUCGGGAUAUGCACCUGGGCAACUCAAUCCUGGUUUCUGGGAUACUUUGAUUGGAUUUUAUAUCAUUUGGAUGGAGUGUGGGUUGUGUGAGCCUUCCUUCCAUCAGUGGCGUUACUGUUACAAGAUGCGCCCAGCAAAAUCAUGCACUGGUUAUGCCGAGUGUGCAUGUCGGAGUGAGAGAGAGCGUAUUGUGUAUGGUAAGAAAAAGGCAUACUACACAUGGAAAAACCGUUGGUGCUUUCUGUAUAAUGAUUGGGAGUAUGAUAAGGGUGUCACGCCUGAGCGACGUGUGCUUACUCACUUCCAGACUGUAGGUUGUAACGUAUCAACCGUUCGUACUAUUUGCUAUUUGUUGUGGUCUUUUCUUGCUUCUAACACUUUGCUUCAUGUAGUGACGCGGGGCACCAUCCAACUGUUUGGGCAGGAGCUAUCUGACAUAGAGAAGGUGUUGAGGGUGCCCAAAGAGGAUAGACACUUAAGCAAGCUACGACCCUUAUUUCGUCGGUACGGUUUUCAACCCUUAGUUUCCGAGAGCCAGGGACGAUCGAGUAAGUUGUAUCCUUCAUGUAAACUUAGCUCAAUUCCUUACUUUAUUUGGAAAGUUGUAUUUCUUAUUUUGAUUUUCCUUAUGCAGUGGAGAAGGUAAGCAAGAAAACAGGGACUAGCACCCAUAAAAGGAAAGCACCAGUGUUAGUUCCUUCGGAAGACAUCCUACCGCAUAAGAAAAUUCAUAAGUUCCGAGGGGAACCAUCCGUUAGACCUAAGUCCCAAGAUGGGGUCCUUAAGGGGCCUGCCUUUAGGAAGACUGGAGUCGAGACCGUUGAUAAUGCUACUGCCGUAGUUGCAGGAGAAGGGAGCCGACUGUUGCCUCAUCCUCUUACUAUGGAGCACACUGUCCAGGAAAGUGAUCCUGGUUCCCGCCAUGAGGGGAAAGGCAAGGAAAGAGCUGGCAGUGUCCCGUGGAAGGACUUGAGGGUUGCCACGCGGCCAAAGGAUUUUGGGGAUAUCAACAAUUGCUUGGCAGGGCGUCGAUUCGCCUUCGAUGAGCUCGGAGAGCCCUUAGCUAAGGAUGAAUCGGAUUGCGACCGGAUGUUGAAGCUGUCUUCAUAUGUGAGUGUUACUUUGUCAUUUCCUUACUUUUUCCUCUUUAUUAUCAUUAUUUAGGUAGUGAUGAUCGUCUUGCCAUGCAGGUCAUGGCCGAGUAUCACGACAGACUGCAAGAGGUUGAGCGGUACAAGGCAAAACUGAAGGAGAAUAAGCAGCUUGUGGACGAGGCCCGAAGGAAUAAGGGACUUUUGACUCAGGCUCUCCAACUGAAGGAUGAAACCAUGGAGAGCUUGAAAAGGCGAAAUGGUGAGAACCUAAGGCUUAAGAAAUUGUUUGAGGCAACUAAAAAACAGUUGGAGGUGGCUACCUUGGAAGUAUCCAAGGUUAGGGGAGAAUUGGAUGGUGCCUUAGUUGAGAUUUCUGAACUGGAGAAGAGCAUUCCAACUGAAAGGGAGGCUGCUGUGCAAGAAUACUUAAGUUCUUCGACCUUUCAUCUUGCUAUUAAACCCUACUGUGCUCAAGAAGCUCGCUUUGAAAAAAGGAAAUGGAUGGCCGUCCUUGAUCGUUAUGAUGAUGGGAGCAUUCUUCGAAAAUACCACGAAGAUAUAGAUGAGCAUCAUCGAAAGGGCGAGACAUUUGUCCUUGCUGUUGAUCCUAGCAGCGAAGAUGAGUCUGAUAAUGAAGGUAGUGCUGAUGCACAGACUCAGCAUGGUGAAGAGGAUCUUGGGGAUGCAGAGGAUGAUGGUAGGACGCGGAAUGAUACUGCCAGGGGUUCGGCUUCAGAUGAGAAUGAAUAGCAGUGUCUUUACUAUCUGCAUGUAUUCUGGAUGUAGUAGUCUGAUGUGUGUAUAACAUGUGCCCAUGUUAUAAGCUUGAGAGUUUUGGAUUUUAGGUGUUUAUGAGUGUUUGCACUAUUAUUAAUGCAUGUUUGGCUAUGUAUGAAUAGAUCUAUUCUAUUGUUUGGAUAUAAGCCAUUGUUUGGUUGUUCCUUUCUUUGUAUAGUCUUGUCGACACAUACUUAGAUUUUGUUUCGUGUUGGAUAUAUCUGCUUUGAGGUUUCAACACUUGAGUGUUCCCUUGCUAGGAAUGUAAAAGAGUGAGGGCUGAGUUGGCUAAAUUACCUCUUUAUUGAAUUCAUUGCCAAAUGGCCUUCAUUACAUAGGAUGCCGAACGGCUAUAGCUCAACACUUGUACAUCGUGAGUCUAUUUGUAGUAGUACUUCAAGUGAUCAGCGUUCCAUGGAUGGCCAAGGGUCUUGCCAUCGGAGCUUCUAAGUGUAAGAGCCAGGGCGACUGAUGCCAAUGACUUCAUACGGUCCAUCCCAGUUUGGACUAAGUGUGCCUUCACUCGGGACUCUGUCGCAGAGUAAUCUUUUCUUUAAGACCCAGUCUCCUAUUUUGAAAGAACGAAGCUUGACCCUAGAGUCAUAAUAGUUGGAGAUGCGCUGCUUGUAGGCGACAUUCCUCAAGUGAGCUUGGUUUCUGUGUUCCUCGACUAAAUCCAAGUUGAGGGUGAGUUGUUUGUCAUUUUCACUUUGAAUGUAGUUCUGGACUCGGAAUGUUGCUUGCUCGAGCUCAACAGGGACAACCGCCUCUGUGCCAAAGGCAAGUGAGAAUGGAGUUUCUCCUGUUGAAGUCCGAUAUGAAGUGCGAUAUGACCAAAGAACUUGGGGUACAAAUUCUGGCCAACAGCCUUUAGCUUUGUCUAAGCUGGUUUUCAAAGUGCGCUUGAUUAUUUUUGUUGAUGGCUUCAACUUGUCCAUUAGACUGGGGAUGAGCUGGAGAGGCAAAGCAUAAGUUGAUGUUGAACUUAGAGCAGAACAACCUGAACUUCUUGUUGUCAAACUGUCGCCCAUUGUCAGUGACUAUCGCAUUGGGAAUGCCGAAUCUACAAAGGAUGUUCUUCCACACAAAGUCUUCUAUCUUUGCCUCAGUAAUGGUUGCCAAGGGUUCUACUUCGGCCCACUUUGUGAAGUAGUCCACUGCAACGACUGCGUAACAGACUUUGCCCUUCCCUGCCGGCAUUGGGCCGAUCAAAUCAAGUCCCCACUGGGCGAAGGGCCAAGGGCUGAUCAUAGGAGUAAGAGGCUCUGGAGGGGAAUGAGGAAUAGUUGCAUAUCGUUGACAUUUGUCACAUGAGCGGGAUACUUUGAUGGCAUCCUGGUGGAGUGUUGGCCAGUAAUAUCCUUGGCGAAAAGUCUUGUGUGCUAGGGACCGAGAUCCAGCAUGAUCUCCACAGACUCCCUCAUGUAUUUCCCGAAGGACGAUUUCCGCCUCGGCAGGCGUAAGACACCUUAAGUAUGGCAGGCUAAAACCUCGCUUAUAGAGUUGAUCAUUGAUGAUCAGGUAGCGGGUAGACUUGUAUCGAAUUUGCUUAGCCUGGACUUUAUCAUUUGGGAGGGUGCCAUGAGCAAGGAAAUUAUAGAUCGGGGUGAUCCAACUAUCCCCCUGUUGUAAGUUGCAUACUUCUGCGGCCAUGGUGCUUGGUGUUGCCAACAGUUCGACAUGAAUUUUUCUUCCAAUCUUGUCUUCCACAGCUGAGGCGAGGCGAGCCAGGGCGUCUGCAUGACUGUUUGCCGCUCGAGGAACUUGGGUGAUCUGGUAGUGGAAGUGCUUGAGCAAAAGUUGUGUUUGCGCAAGAUAUGCUGCCAUGGAGCUGUCCUUAGCAUCAAAGUUGUUGGUAACCUGGUUGACCACUAAUUGGGAGUCACUGAAAAUAUCAAUUUGUUUAACCCCGAGGUGUUUGGCCAAACGUAAUCCUGCUAGAAGGGCUUCAUACUCGGCCUCAUUGUUUGAUGCCUUGAAUUUGAAACGAAAGAGCAUACUCCAUUGCUACUUUGUCGGGCGUAGUCAAGACUAGUCCCGCUCCACAGCCCUGUUGGUUGGAUGAGCCAUCAACAUACAGACUCCAAGCUGAGGUCGUUGAUUCUACCUUCUGAGCUUCCGGGGGUAAUGAAGCCACUGCUUCAGGUGUAGAAGCAAUGUCAACCGGAUAUGUGAAGUCGGCAAUGAAAUCUGCUACUGCUUGACCUUUUUCGGCUGGUUUUGGUUGGUAGGAGAUGUCAAACUCACCCAAUGCUAUCGCCCAUUUGAUCAUUCGCCCAGACGUGUCAGGACUCUGGAGUAUCUGUCGAAGAGGGUGAUUGGUAAGCACGAUGAUGGCGUGUGUGCUUGGAAAUAAGGGCGAAGUUUCCGAGCAGACAUGACCAAUGCUAGAGCUAAUUUCUCAAUGUUGGAGUAUCGUGUCUCCGCAUCUUGUAGGGCUUUGCUAGCGUAGUAGACAGGUCGCUCAAUAUUCCCAUCCUUUCGAAUGAGAACGGAACUUACGGCUGAAGCUGAUACCGAUAGGUAGAUAAUGAGAAUGUCUCCUACCUCGGGCUUGGAGAGUAGAGGGGCUUUACUCAUGUACUCCUUGAGGUUUUUGAAUGCCUCGGCACAUUCAUCAGUCCAUGUAAUGUACUUCCUACUUCCCUUAAGUGCUUUAAAAAAGGGAGCACAUUUGUCUGUGGCCUUAGAAAUGAACCUGGUUAAGGCUGCCACCUUGCCAGUAAGGCUCUGGAUGUCCUUUGAAGUUACCGGUUCCUUCAUGUCGAGGAUUGCUUUGAUCUUCUCGGGAUUAGCUUCAAUGCCUCGUUGGCUAAUCAUGAAACCUAAGAAUUUGCCAGAGCCUACGCCGAAGGCACAUUUGUUGGGGUUUAACCUCAUUCGAUACCUCUUCAAAAUAGUGAAAGUUUCAGAUAGGUUGGUGAUGUGUUGGUCAGCAUGUUUGCUCUUGACUAACAUAUCAUCAACGUAAACUUCCAUGCUCUUCCCAAUCUGCUCGGCGAACAUUGAGUUGACUAGUCUCUGAUAAGUCGCUCCUGCAUUCUUUAGGCCGAAAGGCAUGACUUUAUAGCAAUAUAGUCCCCUGUCAGUAGUGAAGGCCGUGUGUUCUUGGUCUGAGGGGUUCAUGAGGAUUUGGUUGUAUCCUGAAUAAGCGUCCAUAAAGCUCAAGAGCUCACACCCUGCCGUAGAGUCUAUAAGCCUGUCAAUAAGAGGAAGAGGGAAACUAUCUUUCGGACACCCUUUGUUUAGGUCGGUGUAGUCAACACACAUCCUCCACAAGACCUUUUGAAGCGAAAGACUUUCUUUGGUCGGAUUUUUCCUAACAAGGACCACAUUUGCUACCCAUGUCGGGUAAUUGACUUCGCGGACAAAGCCUAUGCCUUUGAGUUUUUCAACUUCUGCUUUCAUUGCCUCGUAUCGUUCAGCGUCAUAAGAUCUUCGCUUCUGUCUCACCGGCUUGAUCUUGGGGUCAAUACUCAAACGAUGACAUAUGACAUCGGGAGAGAUGCCUGGCAUGUCCUCGUAUGACCAGGCGAAGACUUCAGUGUUCUCUUUCAAAAAAAGAUAUCAAUGCUAACCGAAGGGGUGGUGACAAUGUGGUGCCAAUCUUCACCAUGCGAUCUGGAUAAUCUCUUGAGAUAGGUACCUUCUCCAACUCUUCAGCAGGUUGGGCUUGCUGGGUGAAAGAGUCAUCUCGAGGAUCAUCGGGUUGAUUGUUGCUAUCAGGAAGAUCCAAGUUCGCUUCAUCUAGGCUGGUCUUUGUGACUUGGUCAUGUACAGACAGGGUUUCCUUGGGUCCGGGCAAGUGUUGUUGCUUAACUGAAGUGUUGUAACAUGAUCGUGCACUAAGCUGAUCUCCUCUGAUGUAGCCGUUGCCAUAGGGGGUUGGAAAUUUCAUCAACAGCAUAUGCGUGGAUACCAUAGCCUUGAGAUCAUUGAUGCCUGUGCGCGCCCAAAGAUGACAUUGUAUGCCGUUGGGGGCAGUCAACCACUAGGAAGUUAGUGGUAAUGGUAGCCGUGUAAGGGCCUGUACCAAUAGUAAAGGGUAAAUGUAUGCUCCCUAAGGGUUGCACGAUAUCACCGGAGAAGCUUAUCAGAGGAGAAAUCGAGCGAUCGAGCAAGUGUUCAGCUACACUGAGCGCCCUGAAAGCUUCGGCAAACAUGAUAUUGACCGAAGCCCCUGUGUCUACGAGGAUUCGUCGAACAUCAAAGUUGGCUAUGUGAGCCUCCACGAUCAAUGGGUCGUUAUGAGGGUAGAUGAUGCCUCUUUCUUCCUCAGGGUAGAAACAUAUCGGAUCCCAGUUAGGUUUUUUGAUACUUCCCCCCCUGAUGUCUUCCACGUGAAACACUUGGUGACCAGGCCUCAGACUUCGUUCACUGUUUUUCAUGGCCCUAUUGGAAGAUUCAGAUAUGGGUGUGCCGCCGCUUAUGGAAUAUAUGACAUUCACCUGGCGUUGGUUACGGUUAUCCCUUUGAGGGUGAAGAAGGAAUUGAUCAAUUUUUCCUUCUCGUGCCAAAGCUUCAAUACGAUCACGGAGGAUGAUACAUUUCUCGCUAUCAUGGCCGUUAUGCUCAUGGUAGCAACAAAACGUGCCCGCGUUAUUCGGGGGCGUGUAAUCUGGGUGCCUCGGCUUUGGCUUUGGUAUCAGGUGAGCUAUGCUGGGGUAAAUGGCCGCGCAUGUGGCAUUCAAGGGCGUGUAUGUCUCAUACCUUGGGGUAGGGGGUAUCUUGACGCGGGUUUGACCCACUGCAUUGACUGCCUGGGGGCGAGCGUUAUUGUGGCGAUACCCUUGGUUAUCGGGAUAGUGUCCCUUACUCUUUUUACUGAAAGGAGAGUGGUGAGGAUGGAAAUCCUUCCUCUUGCCUUGAAAUUGAUAUGUCUGUUGAUUCGGUGAAGCAUUAUGCAAGGCAUGGGGAGGUGCCACUGCUGUUUGGGAAGUCGAGGUCUUCUCAUUUAGGUGAGUCUGGCUUCCACCUCCCACUUGUUGAUAAAGGAUGGUUGUAGGGGGUUUCUCCUGAUAUGUUCUUUGCCUCGGCGGAGGCAUGGUUAUAAGCCUGCGCCAUCACCUCAGAGUAAGUCUUCCAAGUAUUGGCAUUGAUCAUGUAUUUAAAGAAACAAUCACGUAGGCCUGCCGUGAAGGCUUUGAGGGCAGUCUUGUCAUCUGCUUCGGCACACCGGGAGUAUUCAUGGCUGAAGCGGCCAGCAUACAUACGUAAUGACUCGUCUGGCUUCUGGCGGAUAGUGUACAAGUCAUCUGCAGAGUGCAAGCGAUCGGUUUGGAAAAUGUGUUGGGAAACAAAUAGUUUCCUCAAUUCCUCAAAUGAGUCUACCGUCUCAGGUGUAAGACGACAAUACCAAUUUAGAGCUCCACCAGAGAGGGUGGAGGGGAAGAGAAGACAUCGCUCUUCGUCGGUGUGCAUCCGGUAUGCCAUGGUGGACUCAAAGAGGUUAAGGUGCUCAAUCGGGUCCUCUUUUCCAGUAUAAAGUUGCAAGCCAAGCUUUUGCUUUGUCUUUGCUUGAAGGGGGGUGUUGAGGAUCCUCCUUGUAAGAGGGCCAGGCCUGGGUUGGUUCCAGUCAGGUAUUUCAGCCUGACGUUCAGCCUUCAACUUGUUUACUUCCUCAAGAAGUUGUAGGACAAGGGGGUCCUGAGCGGAGUUAUGUGUCACUGGAGAUUUCUUUCGUAAAUCUCCAUCUCCUCUUGGAAUUAGGAAGGUUUGAUCAAGGGCAUGUGAUUUUUCCCUGGACUCGCUGUACUGGCUUCCAGGGUAUGUCUGUCGGAACACCUCUGAGUCCCCUGUACCCUCAUGUCUCUCUGGGACUUGUUGCCCCUUCCCCAAAUUGGUGGCCGGCUUGGGCCGUGGCAGGGGACCGAGUCUCUCAGAAAUCCUUGGGUCAUUAAUCUUUGAGCUUAUAUGGAUGGAAUUCUCUCGACGUUGCUUCAGGAAAUCCCGACAAUCGCGAAAGACGGCUUUCGAUCCUUCUGCCCCUUCAGUAAAGAGGUGUCUCCCUCCACUUCUCAUGGUUCGGGUCGAAGCAACUGGGUUAAGAGAAGCCUCAUGUUGAUUAUCAAGUCGAGGGGUAAUCUGUUCCCUAUCAGGGAUAUCUAUGUCGAAUGCAUGUGACCCUCCAUGUUGGAGGGCACCCAGUUGAUGGUUGACUUCCACGGGGGCAACAAGCUCGCGUGUCUGAGCUUGCCUAGCUUCGUGGAGUGUCUCGAAGAGCUUCUCAUAUUGCUCCUGAAGGACCUCAUUCCUUAUUGCUAUCUUGUUGUUCUGAGCUUCCAACUCAUCGACUUUAGCUUGAAGAAGAACUCGUUUUCCUUCCUUCUUUCGUUGUUUCGCACUAUGUGCAAGGGGGGUGUCAUUCUGUGUGCUGUGGCUUCCUUCGCUUCCCAUGUUGGAGAGGGAUGCCUGGUCAAAAGAAAGUGUACGAAUGAUAGAAACCAGCUUGACACAGCUGAAGAGAGUAGGAAUAAGUGUCGUUUCCCACAGACGGCGCCAAAUGUUGAUGCACAAAAUCAGCGAAGACUUUGGUACAACAGAAAGUGUCAGGUUUUGUGACCUUCGCUUGGUUGCUUCGGUCACUAGUGAGGAUAAGUACGUAAAUGAAUAGAGACAGAGAAGCAAAACACAGGAUGUACGUGGUUCACCCAGAUUGGCUACGUCCACGGAGUAGAGGAGUUCUUAUUAGUAGUGAAGGGCUUACACAAGUACAAAGGAUCAAGCUCUCAAUUUAGUGAGUUCUUGUGAAUGAUUUAACACAAAAUGGCAUUAGGCAAUAUUGUGGGGGAAUGACCCCUAUUUAUAGAAAAACUUGUAGCUUUGUCACAUUGACAUGUGUCAUGUUAUGAUUGGUUCUUGAUGUUGACACGUGCUGCGCUCUGAUUGGCUUCUAAUCUUGACACGUGUCGAGUAGUGAUUGGCCUCCUGGUCGGAGGAGAACUCUUCUGGGUCCUUGACAGUAUAGCGUUGGCCGGUGCUCGGUAGUUUCAGGAUUGGUCAAGUAUGGUACAAACAAACCUUAUGUGGACUUAACCCAUCCACGACAAGCUUUGAUAACAACAAGUCCGAAGUUACUUGGGGCGCAAGUAAUCAAUUUAUCUCUUAGUUUUAUUUCUAUUAUAUUAUGAUUGUAGUAAAAUGUUUAAGUAUAGAAGGAAUUCUGAUGGGAAGCCUUAAGGCCUAUAACUAAGGCCCUACAAAGGCACCUAUUUGGGUUCAUUCUGCUAUGCGGGCUCGGAUAAUCAGAAGUAUAAUGGUUAUAACACUUCUGCAAACAAUAAAACAGACUCAUAUUCGAGUACUGGGUUAGUUCUUGAUCGGAAGCUUCAAGGCCUACACCUAAGGCCAUACAAAGGCACCUGUCAUAAUUAACAUGACCUCUCGAGUAUAUGUACAACUAAAACUCAACAUCCAUUUUACAUUUGCCAUGCUAAAGAUGGCAGUGGCACGCUUGAGCACUUAAAAGUUAAUCUUGAUUGUGAGCCUCAAGAUCUAUACCCAAGGCCCCACAAAGACACCUUUCAAAGUUAACUCUGUCAUUCUCUUUCAGCCUUGCCCAACAAACCUUGCCCAACAAGUUUUGCCCAACAAGCCCGCCAGUGAAGCAGAGGCCCAACAGAAAGCAUCAACCGGCGCCAACCUUUCGGGGAGCUGUGUGCUCGUCGGCUAAGAGACAUCCCUGACGGAAAUUCUAGCCACGAACACACACGAUCCGCUGCCCGCCACCCAUAGCCCAUACCUUCACAACCCGUACCCACACACCCAACAUCAAACGAUGACUCGUAACUCAUGCCUAGAAUUAGAUCUUAAAUUUUGGAAACUGAAAAAAAAAAAAAAAACGAAGAGAAACUAUGACUCACCUGCAAAAGAUGGGGAAGAGAAUGGGAAAAAAGAAUAAAAAACAUAAAGAAUGCUUUGGGUUUAGAAUCAGCCAUCAAUAUAAAAAGCUAAAAAAAUUAAUCUUUAUAAUAAAUUAAGGGUACCCAUAAAUAUUAAUGAUACCCAAAAAUGACUAUAAAUUAAUUAUUAUUUUUUUCUUUUUAUUAGAGCCUCUUGAUUUUGGCAUAACUUUGGUUUAUUAUGUUUCACAAUACAAGUUUUGUGAAAGACAUGGGCCUGUAUCUGUAUCACUGUAUGUUGUUGCGCCCAACUGGUUUUGUGGUUCACAUUCAUGAUAAAGAAUGGUUAUUGUUGUGCUUAUGUUAGAAUAUAAGUAUAUUUUUUUAAACACAAAGUAUAUUUUUUUUAAACACAAAGUAUAUUUUUUAAACUCAAUUGUGUAAACCGAAAACUCAACAUUGCUAUUACAAGAAUUGCAAAUCCUUACAGGCACCCCAAUAUUCUUGCAGAAUUUAUAGCCGGACAAUUAAAGAAUAGAGUUUCAUUUCGCAAAGCAAUGAAAAAAUCUAUUGAAUUAACUGAACAGACAGGUACAAAAGGGAUUCAAGUACAAAUUGCAGGGCGUAUCGACGGAAAAGAAAUUGCACGUGUUGAAUGGAUCCGAGAAGGUAGAGUUCCUCUACAAACCAUUCAAGCUAAAAUUGAUUAUUGUUCCUAUGCAGUUCGAACUAUCUAUGGGGUAUUAGGCAUCAAAAUUUGGAUAUUUGUAGACGAGGAAUAAUAAGAACUUACUUGACUUAUACUUAGAGCAUCCAAUGCACGGCAGUAGGGCAUCCAACAUAUGGCACAAUUUAUAUUACGGAGUAUGCUAUACAAUGGUCCACCACUCGUGCUAUGUGAAUGAUAUGUUGUUGUUAUAAAGUUGAACUACAUUUGUGCUGCUGAAAAAAAUUGUGAAACAACAUAAUAAAUUACAU